GUAAUACUUCAGGAACCGGUCGGCAAUCGUAGCUCUUUCAAGGUUUCUCGGAACUGAGAAAAUAUUGAUACGCCAUUUAAGAUAAGUGAUCACAUAAUCCUCUGUUCUAGAUAUCAGGCGGACAAAUACAUGGAACAAUGUCUUACUUAUUAUCCAGCAGUUUGUUUCCCGAUUUUUGAUUUGUUUGAUAAAGAACUUAAUUGAACACAUCAAUUUAGUUCUGACCGGGCCCGGUACAUAGGUCAAAACAAAAUCAUCGUGGGUCCCAGAUAUCAGCUUCUAAUCCAAGAAGGAACAGAUAAAGUUCGACUCAUAUGUUUGUUCUACUACUCAUUGAAUUAUACACAAAAGCACGUUUUAUAACAUCGAGUUACCAAUGCGUUUACGUACAAUCAAGGCAUAACCAACUCAUAAGUAACAAAUUAUAUCUCUAGGUUUGAAAAAUUAUGUGAUAUUACCGUCUCACGAUCACUCGAGAUAAAUUCCAUGAAGUGAUACCAGUGAGCGUGGGGUGAUUCCAAUACUCAGAACUUAUGAGCNUACUCAUGAAGUUUUGUCCUUAACCUUGACACCUACAACCAACUUCAUGACAGUCUUAAUUUAUAUCUACUUCCAACAUAUGACUGACUGUGGAGAUUUGAAUAAUAUGUAGAAACACAACAUAAUAUUCUGGAAGUCAAAACAUGCAAAAGAAAUUAUAGUAAAUGAUUGACAAAAGAUAGUAACACUUUACUCAUAAAUAAACAACAAACUAUUAUUUAUCAUCAAAUGUCAAUUACACUUUACAAAUUUCAUAAUUUAUCUAACUACUAAAACUUAUAUCAUCCUUUAGCCCUAUGCUCCGAGCAUGCUGAAGAUGUUUAGCCCUACUCAGUCCCUUCGUGACAGGAUCUACUAGGUUCUCAUCUGAUGAUACCCUCUUUGCAACGAGGAUUCUUUCUUCUAUGAGAUGUCUGAUAAAAUGAUAUUUUCUGUCGAUGUGUCUGGAUCUCCCAUGAUCCCUUGGUUCCUUAGCUAAGGCAACAACACUUUCACUAUCACAGAAAAUUUCCAUAGGUUCCUUUAUAGCUGGUACAACUCCAAGGUCUCCAAUGAAGUUCUUCAGCCAUAUUGCCUCCUUUGCUGCUUCGCUCGUUGCUAUAUAGUCUGAUUCACAAGUGGAAUCAGCCACUAUCUCCUGCUUGGAACUCUUCCAAGUGAUUUCUCCUCCGUUUAGGGUAAAGACCCAGCCCGACUGAGAGCGGAAAUUAUCCCUAUCAGUCUGGAAGCCAGCAUCACUAUACCCUACAACUCUCAUGUCAUCACUCCCGCCGUGGGUAAGGACCCAUUCCGUAGUCCUCCGUAGGUACUUAAGGAUAUUCUUUACUGCAGUCCAGUGUGCCAUGCCAGGGUUCCCCUGAUACCUGCUAACCAUGCUCAAGGAAAAGGCUACAUCAGGUCGAGUACACGUCAUAGCAUACAUGAUCGAUCCUACAGCCGAAGCAUAAGGUACUUGACUCAUUUCUACUAUCUCAGCCUCAGUACUUAAGCUCUGAGCUUUACUCAAUCUGGCAUUACUCUGGAUAGGUAACUCUCCUUUGUUGGAGUUUUGUGUGCUGAGUCUCUUAAGCACCUUGUCCAAGUAGGUACUUUGAUUAAGUCCAAUUAGUUUUUUACUCCGGUUAAAAAUCCUUAUCCCUAGAAUAUAGGCAGCUUCUCCUAGGUCCUUCAUAGAGAAACACUUCCCAAGCCAGGACUUGACUUCCUGCAGAGUUGGGAUGUCAUUUCCUAUGAGUAGUAUGUCAUCCACAUACAAUACCAAAAAGCUAACUAUACUCCCACUAGCCUUGACAUACACACAAGAUUCAUCUUCACUCCUAGAAAAACCAAAUUUCUUGACUUUCUCAUCAAAGCAAAGAUUUCAUAUGCGAGGUGCUUGCUUUAAUCCAUAAAUGGAUUUCUCAAGCUUACACACUCUAUUAGGGUACUCGUUGCUGACAAAACCUUCUGGCUGACUCAUGUAAACAUCUUCCGUCAACUUUCCAUUAAAGAAAGCAGUUUUGACAUCCAUUUGCCAUAUUUCAUAGUCAUGAAAUGCAACUAUGGAUAACAUAACCCUAAUAGACUUAAUCUUGGCUACUGGAGAAAAGGUCUCAUCAUAAUCCAAUCCUGGAGUUUGAGAGAAUCCCUUUGCAACCAGUCGUGCCUUAUAAGUGUGUACAUUACCAUCCAUGUCGGUCUUCUUCUUGAAGAUCCAUUUGCACCCUACAAUCUUACGACCUGGUACAUUCUCAACCAAGUUCCAAACUUGAUUGUCAUACAUGGAUUGUAUCUCGUUGUCUAUUUCCUCUUUCCAUUUAGCAGACUCGGGGCCUUCCAUGGCUUCCACGUAACUGUUGGGUUCAUCCAUACCUACUAGUGUCUUAUCACUAAUAAGUGUAUCACCUUCCGCAGUAAUAUGGAACCUAUAGUAAUGCUCAGGUGCAUUCCUAACUCUCGUGGAUCGCCUCAGAGGUAAAGACUCGUCAAUUGGUUCAACAGGAGUUUCCUCCUCAAGUUAAGGGCUAGGGUUUGAAGUUCCUUCACCACUUGACUCUUGAAGUUCUUCAAGGUCAAUUUGCCUCCCACUGUCUCCUUGGCUUAUAAAUUCUCUCUCACGAAAGACUCUUCUUCUUGCUACAAAGACCACAUUAUCACUGGGUCUGUAGAAAAGGUAACGAAAGGAUUUAUGUGGGUAGCCGAAGAAAAUACACCUCUCGCUUCGGGGUUCAAGCUUAUCAUGAGCCUCACGUCUCACGAAAGCCUCACAACCCCAAAUCUUGAUGUGGUCUAGUUUGGGUACUUUACCAGUCCACAUCUCAUGAGGAGUUUUGGCAACUUUCUUUGUAGGGACUAGAUUAAGGAUAUGGGCGACAGUCUCUAAGGCAUACCCCCAGAAUGAGAUUGGUAGCGAAGCUCGACUCAUCAUGGAACGAACCAUAUCCAACAAGGUUCGAUUACACCUCUCAGCCACACCAUUCAAAUGUGGUGUUCUGGGAGGUGUCAAUUGUGAGAGAAUCCCACAUUCCCUAAGAUAGUUGAGGAACUCUGAACUAAGAUACUCACCACCUCGAUCGGAUCGAAGCAUCUUAAUGUUUCUGCCCAAUUUAUUCUCGACUUCAUAUUUAAAUUCUUUAAACCUUUCGAAAGUCUCUGACUUAUGCUUGAUUAAGUAGAAAUAUCCAUAUCUACUGUAAUCAUCAGUAAAAGUCAAAUAAUAACGAUUAGCAUCCCUUGUGGCAUGUUUGAAGGGUCCACACACAUCCGUGUGUACAAGAUCCAGAAAACCUUCAUCCCUCUCACAGGAACCUGUGAAGGGUGACUUUGUCAUUUUUCCAAGUAAGCAUGAAUCGCAACUGUCAUUUGACUUUAGGUCAAAUGACUCCAAGACUCCAUCCUUUUGGAGUUGGCCUAUGGAUUUCUUGCUUAUAUGUCCAAGAUGACAAUACCAUAAUGAUGCUUUAUCCAAGUUAUUAUUAUUAACAGAAUCAAUACACAAUACAUUAUUUCCUAAGUUAUCAACCACAGAUACAGUUUCAUACACGCCAUCACAAGGUACUGCUUCAAAAUAAAGAACAUUAUUAAAGAAAGCAUUAAUCGAACCAACUUCAUUAUCAAAUGAAAAGGUGAAACCUUGUUUAUACAAUGCAUGAAAGGAAAUCAUGUUUCUUGCCAUUUAUGGAGAAUAACAACAUUUAUUCAAAUAUAAACUAAACCCACUACUUAGCGAUAAAGUAUAAACUCCAAUCUUGGUGACAGGUGAAGCUUUCCUGUUUCCCAUGAUCAAGUUUAUUCUUCCUUGCUCCACAUUCUCACUUCUUCUUAGUCCCUAAAAAUCAGAACAGAUAUGAAUACCAUAACCGGUAUCAAGGAUCCAUGAGUUAGAAUGGGGUGAGUUAUUAGAUAAGACAGUGUAAAUACCUGCAUGGUUGGGUUUAACUUUCCCAUCCUUCACAUCUUGUUGGUACUUUGGGCAGUUCCGCUUCCAAUGUGCCUUUUCAUGGCAAUAGAAGCAUCCAUCCUCUUUUGGUUUAGAAGAAGGAGUGACGAAACCUUUCUUGGUUCCACUUGAAGAAGAGCCAUCAAGGGUCCUAGCCUUGGUACCCUUCGAAGAACUCUUUCUCUUAUUCCCUCGUCCUUUCCCGAUUGCCAAGACAGGGGCGGAGUUGGAAGGAGUAGGAGUAGUAACAACCGCCUUACCCUUAAGACCACUUUCCGCGGUCUUUAAGAGUCCUUGAAGUUUGUUGAGAAUGACCUCUUCCUUGUUCAUGUGAUAUGUCAUGCGGAAUUGAUCAUAGCAAGAUGGUAGGGAGUGCAAAAUGAUAUAUAUUGCAAGCUCCUCGGGGAAGUUCACACUGAGCUUCAGCAAUCGGUCCAUAAAUCUUUGCAUUUUCUGCAUGUGGCCCUUGAUGGGUUCACCAUCCUUCAUUUGGGUUGUUAUCAUGGAGGAGCUGAUUUCAUACCUCUCUUGUCUUACACUUUGAUGGUAUCUUUCCAUCAAAUCUUGGUGCAUUUCAAAAGGGUAGAAGUCCUCGUAGGACUUUUGGAGAUCGGCUGUCAUAGUAUCCAUCAUGAUGCAUGCCACCUUGGUGGCAUCCCUUUCAUGUGCCCUAAAGUCAGCGAUCUGUUGAGGAGUAGCAAUUGUCUCAUCAAUCUCCUUAAGCUCCUUAUCGAGAACAUAUUCUUUAUCCUCGUAGCGGGUAAUCAUUCGGAUGUUUAUGAUCCAUUCAUUAAAGUUGGACCCAUCAAAAGUGACUUUCCCACACAAGUUCAUUAGAGAAAAGGAGCCAUUAGGAUUAGAGCCAGAAGCAGUAGUGUUUGCAGACAUCUGAAAAGAAGAAAAGUUUAGUUUAGAUAUUGAGAUAAUCCUAAAUAAAACACCCAAAUGUAAUAUUAAGGCUAGGACCCAGUCACAAUAUAUUAUACUUAGAAGAGGUAUGCUGUAAUCUAAGUAAUAACAUAUUUGAAAGGUAGGUGAAUGACGAUUCACCAAUUUCCACCAUGAAAAAUGAAAUAUUGAUAUUAGGUUUUUAAUUGGUUCUUAGAAAUUCCUAGAUUCUUUGAGAUUCAUUGAUCUUUUCAAUGGCAUGUUUCAAUCUAGAGUGUGCCCUCCAAGUUUUGUGACUGGGAUGCCGAGAAUCACAAAACGAGGUGUGAAGUAACCAUGCAAAUUACUUGGUACCCUUAAAGUAUGACCCCUCAAUCGAUGUGUCGGUUAACCACACACGCUCCAUCGAUACUAUGAUAAACAUUAAGUCACUCUUUACCUACCUUGUUAAGUUCAAGUUACUGUGCCGGUUAACCACACACGCUCCACUAACGACUUAAAAAAAGUGUAAAGUGUAAUUUCAUGGAUUAGUACCUUAUUCACAUUUUUCCUAAAGUAACUAAUAUUGGGAAUUUAAUAAACGCAUUUGGUUACUUUAAUAUAUUCAUCAUACUUUUAAUGAGAAUUUAUAAGUCCUUGUCUACCCAUUUGGUUAACGACCCUCCACCGAUCAAGGAAGCGGUGGGUGAGAUUGGACACCCAUUAAGUUGCCAUUUUAUAGGCAACAACCUUAUACCCUCCUUAUAGACCGGCUUCGUGAAUGAGGCGUACUAGCGGUUAGACUGACUUUACUCUUAUACAUAUAUAUAUUAUUAACUUAUAAUAUUAUAAAGUAUAAGGGUUGAAUUUUAACUUUUAAAAUUCUAAGGGCUAACUUGGAAUUAAAGUAUUCAUAANUUUUGUAAACUUUCAAAACUUUUCAUUUCUUGUAACUUAUGAGUUAAUAGAGUAUUAAAAAAUGAAGACUCUUCAUUUUUUAUAACUCAAGUGUUCUUUUAAUGGCUUUUAACAAAGUGACUUUUGGUUUUCCAUAACUUGAGGACAAGUUAUGGACUCCAUUAAAACACAUAAUGAUCAUGAAACAAUCUACCACAUAGGUUACAAACAAUUACUAUGAUCAUCUAAACAACAUAAGAACAAGAACAUGAAUAUGAACACUUUCAAGAAUCAAAAAUUAUACUUAAAAUCUUGUAAUUUUGAUAAUUGUCGUUGUAAAUGGAUUAGCAUAAACAUUACAACAUCUAAAACAUGUUUUCUAGUACCAAAACAAUUUAGGGUAAUGUUUCUAGUCCAUUUCCAGCAACACAAGUCGAAAUUUUGAAAACUGUAACCUCUACUCGUCGAGUGCAAGAAAAAAUCGACGAGUAGCUUGCAUUUGGUCAUGGACUCGUCGAGUCCCCCCAUGGACUCGGCGAGUUCAUACGAGCAGAAAGCAGAAAAUUGAAUUUUUAAGCAGUUUGCACAAAUAAUCAACAAACAAGCCUAGGCUCUGAUACUACUGAUGGGUUUUGAGCAUUCUAACACUUACUAAGUGUACAUGCAACCCUAAUAACCUUGGAUCUAUGUUUGUCUAAUUAUAAUGCAAAGUUGAUUUCCAAGGUUAUGUUCCUAUCUAGCAUACAUGGGGAACAAUUUUUCUUUAAAUGAAAGAUAGAACUACAUACCUUGUUGUUGAAAGUGUUACUUAAAACCUUGUGAGCCUAGCACCUCAAGUGUGAUACCUUAAAUGCUUCACACAACACCAAAUGCAAUGAACAAACUUGAGAGAACACUCUAACACUUUCAAAAUCGGCUACGCCCUCUUCUUCUAGUUAGUGUAGCCGAUUUUGGGGAGAAACACAUUGCUUAUAUAGUGUGUUGCAUUAGAUAAACCCUAAUGUAACAUGACUCUUCAUUUCUUGAUCCAUGGGUUGAAUCCAUGGACCAUCCUAUGGGUGGAACCCAGCUUGACAAUCCAUGGAGCCUCUUAGCCCACUAUAUAAGAUAUGGAAGAUUUACAUAAUCUACCCAUAUAUCUAAUUAGUUAUCUUUUGAUCACUUAAUUAAUUCUAAAUUAAUUCUUGAUCAAAACUAAUUAAAUAAUAUUAUUAAUAUACUAGAACUUAUAAUAUAUUAAUAAACCAUAAGUGUUAUUUCUCUCAUUUAGUUUAUUCAAUUGCAUGAUGCCAUGAAACCCAAAUGGACCAUGCCGGGUCGGGUCAAGUACAUACCAGAAAUAGUUAUGGACUUAGACACCUUAUCCAACAAGUUACACCGAGCGUCUUAUAUAAUAUUCCAUAUCAUUUGGCUAAUUAUUUGGGAAGUAAGGCUGCUAUUUCUAGAUCUGGGAGUCCCAUCAAUGGGGCACUUUUUUUACCCGCCUUGUAAGGUCCUAUGGUCUACUUGUCCGACGUUUGACUAGGACUCCGACACUAAAACCCGAUGAUGAUUUCACUAUGGGAUAUUUAGAGUCCAUACGGGUGGUCCACAAAGAUCAACCGGCGCCCCAACCAAUUACAAGAGGGGGGAGGAAUGUGCGAGGACGAGGAGAAAGAGGACAGCCAGUGCAUCAACCCACACCAAUGGGAGGAGCCAACUUUGGGCAUGAUAUGACAGGGUAUUUUGACCAACUUUCGUUAAGUAUUAAUUGGAUUGGAGGGACUGUGGAAAAUCUGGUCCAACGUUUGCAUGUGGAGCAACCUCCUCACCUGGGGUAUCAUUACCCAAUUUUCCCUAGGUGGAGUGAGUAUCGAGGUCAAGGGGGAGAUGGAGCCGGUACAAGUGGAGCACGGGAUGAAGAAGAUGACGAUUGAGUUCUUAUUUUGUUUUUAUUUAGUUUUUGUUUUUUCGUUUGGUUUGAAUUUGUUUAGUUUUUAAACUUGUUAUGGUUUGUAAGACUUAUAACCUAUUAUGUUACUUUUAGUCGUCCUUUGGUGACUUUAUUUCAGAUUUUCUUUGGAGUCUCGAAAAAGAAGGUUGAGUCGAGAGUGUAUGUGUCUAGCCAAGGGUUGUUUAGAGUCUAGAGUCCUGAGUCGAGACCCACAAUUGAAAAUAAGUGUGGGGUGAGUCGAGAGAGAGGAUAAAUUUAGUGAAACGUCAUAGAAAUUUUGCAUUUAGAAGUGUGUUUAUCCAUUAAGAUAUUAGGGUGGAAUGCUGUGACAACCCGUAAAUUGUUCCGUCGUUGUAACCCACUCCCGUCGGUAAAACCCGUUUGUCUUUCAAUUUUCCCGUUAACAUUUUGGAUUAGGUCAUUUAAUUUAAGACUUUUAUUAUGACCUCGUAAGUAUCCAAACAUGUUAGAAACACAUGAAAACACUUUCGAUACAUAAUUGGAUAAUUUUUAGUUACGACCACAUCGGGUUACAAACACUUAAUCGGGUACGACCAAAAGCCUCGGUAAACGUCAGUAUCGGGUAGAAUUCCACCGUGUCUCAAACUCGACCCAUAUAUAAAGUUCAAAGAACUUUAUUUGAAGCUUUUUCAACCACUCUCUACUCUCUCUACAUAUCUAAGCUUUUGAUCCAAAAAUCACCCCCUUUCAAGCUCUAAUUAGGUAUGUAAUCCAUCCUAGCUCAUAGUAUAACAUCUUUAGCCUUCAAAUUCGUGUUUAAAUUAUGAAAAAGGACCAUAAACAUGUGUUUACGGCCCAGGAACAGCCCUAGGCCACAAACACACCUAAAUGAGGUUUUGGAGCCCCAAAACCCUUCCAAACCACCUUUAGAGCUUAAAUAUGACUUAGGGGCUUUCAAGACUGGACUUGGAACACCAAAAACUCAACAAUUGAGGGGUAAACAUGAGUUUACGUCCCAAGAACAUGCUUGGACUUUAAACCCCUUUUCUUAGGCCGUAAGCACCUUCUAAGGUGUUAAAAUGCCCCUUAAACACCUCCUAAGCCUUGGAAUAAUGUCUAGAACCAUUCACAAGUAUGUUAGGGACCUUAAUCAUCAAGAAAACUACCCCCUUAGGAGUUCACGACCAUAAACCCCCCAAGGAUGGGUUCCUGGGCCGUAAACUCCUAUAAAUGGGUCAAAUGGUGCCUUAACUUCAUCCGAUGACUUGUAAAAUGAGUUAAAUCACAUGUGAUUAAUCUUGGACCACUAAAACACAUACGGAUUGGCUGUGAGAGAGUUUAAGGCUUUAAACUCCUAGUUUAUAGCCGUAAACUCCAUUAAAUGGUCCCUUUGAUAGUUAAACCACUUCCUAUGCCCUAGAUUUGAUCCUAUCAUCACCCCACAAGUGUUAUAAGGCCAUUUAGCAACCAAGAACCCACCACCCAUGAGUUUACGGCCGUAAAAUCAUGGGGAUAUGUUCUAUGGGCCAUAAUCUCCUUUAGGAGUUUACUCUUGAAGGGAAAACUCCAUAUCUUGGCCCUAUACCCUCGUAGAUGUCACCCGGGUCACUCCAAACACUUGAAUUGAAGUGUUUUCGCGUCUAGAAGUGUUUAUUCUUAUUUAAUUAAUAGAUCAAGGUCUAAUUAGAUAAAAAUUAUGUAUCUGUUCAUAUUACAUAGGAACCUCCCGUGUUUUCAUGCCCCGAACUGACAAUUAGCUUCCAACCGACACAUUUCUCGUCUGGUGAGUUCAUACCCCUACGCCUUUUCCGAGUUUUUCAAUGUUUUCAGGGGGGGGGGGGAAUACAAGCAAACUAUAAAUGUUUUCGAAACUUAAAACUGAUGUAAUUCUAUAAAUAUCUGGCAAACUUUUAGAUAUCUUUACCCCUUUUGUAUCAUGCAGAGCAUAAGGGAUGUUUUUAUGAAUAUAACUAAGUAGAUUUCAAUUAUAGUGUAAGAAAAAAUCAAAACAAUCAAAUUAUUAUGGGAAUAAUUUGGGAUCUUCAGUUCUUGUUUUACGAGUACAGGUUUCAUGCAAAGUUAAUAGAUAAACUAUGUCUGAUUCAAUUUAUCUCUGUUUAAUUUAGAGUAUCAUGCCAGAUAAUUUCUUUGUAUUCAAUUGUUUUUACUGUAUUAUGUUUCAAAACGAUUACGAUGUUUGAUAGCGACCGAGUACACCGUGAAUAAUUUAAUACUAGCUUGUGAGGUUUGUCUUCAUUAAACCCUUCAGGUUAUCAGUAAAUCCUCCCCGGAAGUAUAACUAGAGUCUCCUGGAGGGAGAGCGUGGAAUUUGUGAAUAGAUCUAUUUGGGACUAACAAUCCCACACCUUAACUGCUAGCUACAGUUAGGCGGGCACGCAUGGGUUGACAAAUUCUGGAUAUCGUCCGAUGCCUGAAGAACGUCAAGGAGGUCUGGUGUCAUAUUACCAUGGUUAUCCGACUCAUAAUACGUAUUAAUAUAAAUUUUGUUCACGGAUUUUAUAUCUUCCUUUAAUCUAUAGUUUUAUAUAUUAAAACUACCUACUGUUGUACUGGAUGGUAAUCUAGGGUUUUUCAAUACAUAGUUUUACAUAUUAAACUAUCUACUGUUGUACCAAACGAAAUUCAGAAGUUUAACUAAACUGUCUUUAUAAGAAAAUAUGGGAUUUUCUUGGAUAACAACUUUUCAGAAAACCAAAGGAAACAUGAUCUUUUUACAUAAACAAACAACUUAUGAACUCACUAGCUUUAUGCCGAUUUUUAAACUACUUGUAUUCUCAGGUUCUCCUUAGACAGGUAUCCCGCAUUCUUUUUCAGAAGACGGAGCGUAUGGAAGUCUCGUCUUACUUUUGUUUAGACUAAUGUAUCUAUAAAACUUGUAUUACUUUACUUUCAAACAAAUGUAAUGAUUUUAUGUAAUGUAAUGUUUUGUGUUUACUUUGCUUACUAUGUACAUUGGUUGCAAUACUACAUGACAUCCUCCGCCCCAGAACGUUUCCGCCUUCGGUUGCGGGGUGUGACAAAUGCUAAAAUUAUUAAGAAAAAUAGGCAGUUUAAAUUUUCAGUCGCUCAGUUCUCACGUCGUGAGGCUAUAUUCCUCAUGUCGUGAGUUGGGUUACAAGGCAUUUUAGAAUACGCAGUUCAGCGAUUUCAUGUCGUGGGACAUAUUACUCACGUCGUGAAUUUUCUGAUUUCACCAUAUUAAAUCCUUUACAUUCCUAUUCAUUACAUGGAUCACCACCAUUUCAUUUGGAGUUAUUAUAAAGACAAUUAUCGGUUGUUUCCUUCGCUGUACACUGUGGCGUAUGCUUUCCAACGUUAUUUUUCACACUUUGGAGUCUUGCAACACUCUUAUUGAAGAUUGAAGUUUCGUUUUGUUGUUUGAUGGCUCAUUUACUUAUUUCGCGAGUUCAAGUCCAAGUUCCUAAUUAGAAGUUCCAUAUUCGAGAUGCACAUUUCUCCCACACAUCUGGAGUUCGAUCGCGCCACUAUCCCUGGGGAGUCUGUUCCUUUUUCUCCUUUUUUAUUGUUUUUUUAGUUUAUGCAUACAAUGAGGCAUUGUAUGAAAUAAGUGUGGGGUAGCGGGUCGAAAAAUAAAUUGCUAGAAAUUAGUAAAUUUAAAAAUUUUUAGAAAUAGAUUUGAAAUAAUAAUCUAAGUAAAAAUUUCAAGUAAUAACGAUAAUUUAAACUCUAGUUGCUAGUGUUAUAUAGGAUGAUCUGAUGAGACCUCAAAUGUUUAGUUAAGCCGAUACAUGUUAUAGUGCAUUUGUGGCCUCCUUUAUUCUAGUGAAAUCAUGGGAAAAAAACACAACCUCGCUUAGUUUGAGGAUUACAAUAUGUUUAGCAGCCUAUACUUGAAAUGUAUUCAGGAAAACUAAUACCUUAACCAAUAAGGGUUGAAGUAAAGCGCCCCUACUUAAGCAUUUAGGUUUUAAGUAAAAAAAAGUGAGGACAUGUAAAAAUAAUGAGAGAAAUUAGCAAAAAGUGAAAAAUUGAAGAAUUUUGGGAGCUAUAGAAGUAUCAAAGUUUGAAGAUCAAAGAUCAAAAAUUUUGAAGUAUCAAAAGUUGAAGAUACCAAAAAUUACACAAAAGAUGGUGAAUUCAAAUAAAUUGAAGAUCAAAUAUCAAAGAAGUGAAGAAUUCAAGAGCUCCAUAGUGUGGUAUCUUAAAAGUUGUAAUUCUCUAGUUUAUGUAUGCUUGGGUUGCUUUACAAAAAUACCUUGAGGUUAGGAUGAUUUACGUAAAUGGAUUCGAAGGGAUGCAUAAAAUGAGCAUUGUUCAAAAGAAGUGGGCGCGUGUUUAUGAGGAUUGUGAGUAUUUAGAAUUGGGGGGGGGGGUACUUAGGAAAAAUUUUAGACACAAAUGCAUGCGUUGAGAUCAUGGCAUAAUGGUUGAGAUGGAAUUGGAUUGUUCUAUGUGAUGCUAGUGAUGAAGGCUUAAGCUAAAAUAAGUAGAUUUGCUUGAGGGCAAAUCAAAGCAUAAGUGUGGGGUAUUUUGAUAUUGCCAUAUUUAUACAUAUUUUUAGGCAAUAUUUAUUUACAUUUUUAUUAAUAUUUUGGUUAUUUUCAUAGAAUUAUGGUACUUAUAGGGAUAAAUUGUUGUUUGCAGCCAAAGUGAAGCAUUUUCGAAGAAAGGGACCAAAAUGGACAAAGCAUGAAACUAUGAAGGCUUGAAAGAAGAAAGAUAGGAAUCCAACAAUAAGUCGCACUCACGACGUGAGAGUUGAAGGCUCACGACGUGAGUGAAGUAAUCUAGAAGAUAUGCAUCAGGAUGGAAGACACCUUGUAUAACACGGAUAGAUGCAUGCUCACGACGUGAGACGUUAUUUCUCACGACGUGAGGCUGGAAAAAUCAGAAAUUAUAAAUACUCUAGGCCAUUACGAUUUUGGAGGCUUUUGGCUGAUAGAAGGCAUACCUAGAGAUGAUUUUGAGAGGAGAAGAAGUUAUGGAAAAGGUUUUUAUCACCUAAGGAGAGGAAAGUACAUCAAUAGCUUAUUUGCUUGGUACAUUCAUUAUGNAUCUAUUAUAUUGUUUUAGUUUGUUUGUUGCUAUGAGCAACUGAAUCUAGCUACUCUUGUUUAGCUAGAUGAAGCUUCCGACUUAUGGUUUAGCUUAUUAAUAAUGGAUUUAUUUAGUUGGUAAAUUGCUUGUGUUUGAUUUGUUACCACCUAGCAUGUUAAUAUUUGUUUCUUCGGUUGCUUGAAUUCAUGUUCUGUGUAGCUUAGUGAUUAUUAAAUUACAUGAACUUGAAACCUAGUGAUUUAGUGAGCAUUAAAUUGCUUGAGCUAGGAUCGACCAAAAUCUUAGAUAGAAAUUGAAUUAAAUAAACUUAGCUGUGCUAGAGAACAUAAAUUAUGACCAUAAUUGUGUUUGCUUAAUCUUACAUAGCAAAUUCAUAAUCUACAACUUAUUCUGUGUUUGAUUGUGUAUGACCAUACAUAGCGUANNNNNNNNNNNNNNNNNNNNNNNNNNNNNNNNNNNNNNNNNNNNNNNNNNNNNNNNNNNNNNNNNNNNNNNNNNNNNNNNNNNNNNNNNNNNNNNNNNNNNNNNNNNNNNNNNNNNNNNNNNNNNNNNNNNNNNNNNNNNNNNNNNNNNNNNNNNNNNNNNNNNNNNNNNNNNNNNNNNNNNNNNNNNNNNNNNNNNNNNNNNNNNNNNNNNNNNNNNNNNNNNNNNNNNNNNNNNNNNNNNNNNNNNNNNNNNNNNNNNNNNNNNNNNNNNNNNNNNNNNNNNNNNNNNNNNNNNNNNNNNNNNNNNNNNNNNNNNNNNNNNNNNNNNNAACCAUAAUUAACAAGGAACCAAGGAAACAAUCGUGAGCAUCGAAAAUCAUAAUGAUCAACGACCAAAAAAAUAAAUGUACACUUUUAUGUUGGACUCACACAUACCAUAUUAUAACAAAAAAUCAACAUCUUUACCAAAAUACAUACCUCUUUUAUUCGUUUAAAAACAAAAUUAGGCCACAUUUUUUAUUAAAAAAAAUGGAAUAUACCGUUCUUCUCGAUUUUUCGUUCUCUUUCCAUAGAGAUCCAUGUUGAUAUAUAAAUUUUUUUUUCUGGAAAAAACCAACAUCAUUUUGUUAGUUUUUUCAAAAUUUAAGGUUAUUGUUAUUAAAAAAAAAAUUGUAACAAAAAUAUUAAUUUUUUGUACUCUAUUAAUAAACACUAACACUGGUUUAAAAAAAAAAAAAAAAAAAAAAAACCCCUCUAACAAUGUAGAUUCACACUGUGAAUCUAAACUGUAAAUAUUUCAAUUUUUAACAUUCACAAUGUGAAAAAGCUCGAAUAGUUCAGAUUCACAUUAUAAAUCUGACUUAUUAUUAUGCAUACUGUGAAUCUGACAAAGUUCACAAAAAAAACCUUGAUUAAUGUAGAUUUACUAUGUGUAUCUAAACUUUAAAUAUUUCAUUUUUUAACGUUCACAAUGUGAAAAAACCCCGAUCAGUUCUGAUUCACAAUGUUAAUCUAACUUACUAUUAUGCACACUGUGAAUCUGAGCAGGUUCACAAUGUGAAUCUGAACAGGUUCACAAUAUGAAUCUGAACUGAAAUAUCGUUUUUUUUUUUAUAAGAAUAUGAAUUUAUGUUUAAAAACUACAAAAAAUAACAUGAAUUUUGUUAUAUUUAUUAAUUUUUUUCUAUAAAAAAUUGACUUUAACUUUUCAACAAAGAAAAUAAAGUGAGUUUUUUUUUCGAAAAAAAAAAAUUCGUUUUUUAUAUAACAUUAUGAAUCUCUUUAGAAAGAUAACGAAAAAUUAUAAACAACGGUAUACUCGGUUUAUUAUUUUUUUAUUUUUUUUUUGAUAAAAAACAUGGAAUGAAAAUUUUAAACGAAAAAAAAAAAAGUGAAUUUGGUUAUAAUCCGGUGCAUGUGCGUCCAUCGUAAAAGUCUACAACCUUUGUUUUUCUAUCGCUUUAAAUUUCGACGCUCUGGAUUGGUUCUUUGGUUCCUUUAUNNNNNNNNNNNNNNNNNNNNNNNNNNNNNNNNNNNNNNNNNNNNNNNNNNNNNNNNNNNNNNNNNNNNNNNNNNNNNNNNNNNNNNNNNNNNNNNNNNNNNNNNNNNNNNNNNNNNNNNNNNNNNNNNNNNNNNNNNNNNNNNNNNNNNNNNNNNNNNNNNNNNNNNNNNNNNNNNNNNNNNNNNNNNNNNNNNNNNNNNNNNNNNNNNNNNNNNNNNNNNNNNNNNNNNNNNNNNNNNNNNNNNNNNNNNNNNNNNNNNNNNNNNNNNNNNNNNNNNNNNNNNNNNNNNNNNNNNNNNNNNNNNNNNNNNNNNNNNNNNNNNNNNNNNNNNNNNNNNNNNNNNNNNNNNNNNNNNNNNNNNNNNNNNNNNNNNNNNNNNNNNNNNNNNNNNNNNNNNNNNNNNNNNNNNNNNNNNNNNNNNNNNNNNNNNNNNNNNNNNNNNNNNNNNNNNNNNNNNNNNNNNNNNNNNNNNNNNNNNNNNNNNNNNNNNNNNNNNNNNNNNNNNNNNNNNNNNNNNNNNNNNNNNNNNNNNNNNNNNNNNNNNNNNNNNNNNNNNNNNNNNNNNNNNNNNNNNNNNNNNNNNNNNNNNNNNNNNNNNNNNNNNNNNNNNNNNNNNNNNNNNNNNNNNNNNNNNNNNNNNNNNNNNNNNNNNNNNNNNNNNNNNNNNNNNNNNNNNNNNNNNNNNNNNNNNNNNNNNNNNNNNNNNNNNNNNNNNNNNNNNNNNNNNNNNNNNNNNNNNNNNNNNNNNNNNNNNNNNNNNNNNNNNNNNNNNNNNNNNNNNNNNNNNNNNNNNNNNNNNNNNNNNNNNNNNNNNNNNNNNNNNNNNNNNNNNNNNNNNNNNNNNNNNNNNNNNNNNNNNNNNNNNNNNNNNNNNNNNNNNNNNNNNNNNNNNNNNNNNNNNNNNNNNNNNNNNNNNNNNNNNNNNNNNNNNNNNNNNNNNNNNNNNNNNNNNNNNNNNNNNNNNNNNNNNNNNNNNNNNNNNNNNNNNNNNNNNNNNNNNNNNNNNNNNNNNNNNNNAUGUGUUGUAAAGAACAUUUUUAGGGUGUAACUAACUUUAGUGUGGCAUGUUACAAAUGCACGAAAUAUGAAUCAUUCAAUCUAGUUAACAUAUGAAUACAUUGAUUUGAUGUUCAUCGUGAGAGAUAGAUACACAUUGAAUAUUUAAAAUUGCAUAUGUGUAUUUUAGCGGUUUGAUUUCUAAAGAGCGAUGGUUGAAUUCUGAGUCCCACAUGGAUGUUUACGCUGGUGACAAGUGUUCAAUCGAUGUAAACUGCCUCGGUUGUCUACACUAGUCUUUUGAAACUACAUUUAUUAAAUACUUGUAUUGAGAGUAUGAAAAUCAAAUACAAAAUUAUGUUCCAUGCACAUAGGGGUUGCUCGGUGCAAUUAGGAUCACCCCUAGUCAAAAGACGAUUGCGUCAUUUAGUUACUAAGAAUGGGUCAUAAAUCAUAAUGGAUGACCAUGUAUUUUUUUUUUGUCAAUUGUUGUGUUGUUUCGUAAUGUAUGUAACGCAUGAUGAUUUUUUUGACUAGAAAGAGGGACUCAUCAGACCAUAGUAAACGUGUCUCUUAUACAUCGUCAUUUAGUUGACUUAUUUUGUGUUGUACGUAGAUAUAUCUUAAAUAAUCAAAAGACAAUUCAAAUGGAAACAAACAUGUAUGGAUAUAAAAUAUUCAAAAAUAAAUUAAAAUAAAUAAUAUGUUUAACAUCUUAUGGUUAGUACUCAUUCGAUUGAUACCUAAUGCGUUUGUAACUCCAAAAUGAAUUGUUUUCCAAAUCAAUUAUCUUUAAUAUAUAUUUUCCUUUUCUUAAUAUGAGAAAAUAACUUGUUAAAGUAAUUAUUUUUACGUUUUAUUUACGUUCAGAAAAUUUUUUUGUAAACAUUUGAUCAAUUAAUUUGUUAAAUGCCUUUACAAAUUAAUUAACGGUAAAAUGUUAACAUAUUUAAGAAGUUAAGUGGUCAACUCUAUACAAAAUAAAAGUUGUUUAAAUGUAAAUAAUUUUUUGAGGUUUUUUUUUUCUUUAACACUUUUUAUAAUUUAUUACAAUAUUUUAAAGAUAUUUUUUUAUAAGUUUUUCUAAAACAAUGUUUUAAAUUUCACUUAUAAUUUCUAUAACUUUUUUUUUAUACUUUUGUAUAAUAUUCAUAUAAUUAUUAUUUUUUCACUUUUUGCAACCAUGUAUUUUCUAAAAUAUUUAAACUUUAUUACAAGUUUUUAAUUUUUUGUUUACAUUUUCAUACAAUUUUUUCUAAACUUUGUUUUACAAUAUUUUAAAAAUAUUUCAUUGAUUUUGUAGAACAAUUUAAUAUUGUUUUAUAACAUUUUAAAAUGUUUUCAUCAAAUACAAGUUUAAGUUUAGAACAUUGUAUUAAAAAGUCUAUAAACUUCUAAUUAAAAUGUCAAAAAAUUGUAAUAAUUUUAAAACAUUUACAUUAUAAAGUUUUUGUUUUUAUUUUUUUUAUUUGCUACAUAAUAUUUUGUUUUUAUUUUUUUCAAACACUCUACACAGUUAUUGUUUCAUAUUUAAUUUAUUUAAUUUUAUUGUCUGAUACUAUUUACUUUAAAAAUAUUGCAUAUGUUUAAAAAAAGUAAUAAAAUAAGGUGCUUUAUAAAUUAUUUCACAAAAAAAAAUAUAUUUAUUAAUUACCAUUUUCACUUGAGAUAAUCGGUGACAAUAAUAAAAUGUGAGCACAUUUAACAUGUUAAAUGGUCAAAUGAGGUACAAAAAAGUUAUCUAAAUGUGAACAAAACGAAAGAUGAUUACCAUAAUUUGGGGUUGGAACAUCCUUUUUUCAAAACAAAAAUUUUCAUUUUUAAUUUAGGUAAAAAUGUCAUUUCAUAAAACUCAAGUCAAGAAAACUCAUAAGUAUCAAAUACAGUCAUCCCAAAAUUAGAGUAUCAUAAUAAUGCAGAAUCACAAAAGUUGUUGAUAAGUGUAUACAAUCAAGCCUUCGCAUUCCCACGACCAUAUAAAGUACCUGAAACAUAUUUAAUUAACAAUUGUUGGCACGAAGCUUAAUGAGUUCCCGAAAGUCUCACGUACAACACAUCACAAAUAAACAAUUAUGGGUUAUCAGCAACCCUAGAGACCAUCAAUAGUCUUGGAAUUAUCAACAAAUAAGACUCAGCUAGUCUAGCAUUUACACACUAUGAUAUAGGUCAUACAGUGAGAACACUCACCCAAUCAAAUAGAUGAAAUCCACUACUCAAAGCCCCAUAGAAUCAGCUACACGAACUUCCUUAACCAAUCACAAGCUAAACCUCAGAUUAUAGCUCAAGACCUCUCCAAAUAUGACCUAAAGUCAAACUGGUCAAUAGUCAAUGGUCAACCCUCAGGUGACCUAUGCUCAAUGUAGUAUACUGCUCUACGCUAAGCAUACAUGACUUUCCUACGCUCAUCAUAGCCUAAAAAGUCGAAAAACUAUAUUAAGCUCUUAAUACAAAAAGCCAAUCCCUCGAACUUUUAGAUAUGGACCCUUACAAUAUCUUAAUGGAUAAAGUUUCCAACUUUACCUAUUAAGACACUCCAAUCAAGCAAGAUCUAAACUUUAUGCACUAAAAUGACCAAAACUGCUACCAUAACGUGCAUGGCUUAAUGAACAAGCACCAAAGCACAAAUUUCCAACUCCAACAAGUCCUAAGAGUGUUCUGUAUAGCUUAGAAGGUGUUGGAGUUCUCUUAACUCCCAAAAUACAAGCUCAAUGGACCAAAAAGUGACAAAAAUGGCCAAUAACAGGAUCUAAGAAAACAAUGAGCAUGUUAGAAGCUUUUUAUUCAUAAUGGUCCAAGUAUGAAGCAACCUUGUUGGAUCUAUAGUUCAAACCAUCUUCCAUGCACGUUACAAAAACCUUGUUCUUCAAGGAUCAAAACAAGCAACAAGGAGCUAGGGUUUCUCAAGGAAUGAUCUGAGGUGAUGGACAUUGGUCAUGGGAAGGAUCCUAAGAAAUUCGAGCCUUUAAAUAUGGCUCUAAACCUUAGGUUUAGGGUUUCGGUCUUUUGCGGCUAUGCUCAGUGUAGCCUAACCUACACUUAGUAUAGGUCAUUAAUAUGCAUCCAAUUCUUUCACCUACGCUCCACGGAGGAGGCUUUCCUAUGCUCAUCAUAAAGCAGAAUUCCUAAUUUUCCAUUUUAGCUUCAAAUAGUAAUAACUUCUUCAUUUCAACUUCGUUUUCGAUGACUUUUAUAUCCACGCAAAAGUAUUGAGAAGCCACACAAUUUUAUCUAAUUAUUUUUAACUUACAACAUACCAAACUAAAUUCAUGCAAGAAGUCCAAGAUAUCAUUUUUCUAAUUUUACCCUUUGGCUCCAAAGCACAACUUAUGACUUAAAUCACUUAACCAACAUCAUCAACAUCCAGUAGGGUCUAAACUCUAUUUCUAUGAAGCUUAAGACCUUAUUAGAACUGAUUACAAGCCACUAACCCAAAAUUAGAGACAUCCCCAAAUUAAAUGUUACAAUUCUUCCCCGUUUAAACUGGAUUUCGUCCUUGAAAUCCAACUCGCUAAGAAUUUCUGGAAACUACACUAACACAAUCCUUAUGCUCCUUCUAACUACUUCAUAAAAACAACACAUCCAUAACGAAAACUCAAGAGACCAUUCAAACCCAAAUGAUGCCAACAAACAUUUAACGCCUGCAAAUUUGGGCUAGACAUUUAAGAUAGAGUAAAUAAUAUUAGCUAAAUAUGUAGUAGUCGUAAUGAAUAUCUCACGGGUAUAAGGAACACUUAAAUUCAACUACAUAUGAAGAAAUUAUGCUUCUUCGAAGUUUCACGCAAUCCAUCUUGGCCUGCCACGACGUUGUGUCUCCACCACGUCGUAGGAAACCCUUAAAUACCAAAAUUUGAAAAACAUAAAGUACCUUGGGAUCCAGGUGUUACACUCAUGGAUUCAUUACAGACACUUCAUGCACUUAACCAAAUUCUCAUUUGCAUACACAUAUACAAGUGUUACAUAUAUAAAUAGCAGUUGCAGCUCCAACAUUCUCCCCACACCUUCAGUAACUUUUCUCUAUAAUGCUCUGAGAUAUUAGCUCGAAUUUCCCUAGAUUUGAGAAGCAGUGAGCGAGGCUCUAAGUCGUCAGAGUGUCCAAAAAGUAUAAGUGUUUAAGAAACUCUAUAAGUUAAGUUGCACUUAUUUUAUUUCAAUUCUAACUUAUACUUAUUGAUGAGUUUAUAAAACUCUUUGAUCGAUUAGAUCUUUAUAACAGGCAAACAAGUAAAGUAAAAACAGUGAAAUAAAAACACAAGUAUGGAUCUGAAUGAGUCGAAUGAUUAAAAUCAAUCCUUAGUAGAGCUCGAUGAAGAACUUCCGCUGUAGAGGAUUCUAGGGUUACAAAAGAUAAGAACAUAAACGCUAUUAAAACUCUAUCAAAUCUUUUCUUAUUUCCCUAUAAAGAAUGCAUGCAAGCAUCUAUAUAUAAUAACCCUACAAAUAACUCACGGAUGGACAGGCCCAUACCGGAGACAAAACUGGACUAGCUAACGAGCCCAAAGACGCAACACUAAACUGGANUGCAAGACUAUCAUUUAUUCUUACUCGGACCAGCUGUCGGAACCUUCUUGGUUGUAUCAAACAGACGAGAGAUAAGUGCAAGAAUUGUCUAUCUGAAGCGAAUGUACCAUUGAAUCAUAUCAUCAAAGUACUUCUUGUCAUCCGCUGAAUUCUGCUUGCACCGAUGAAUGAUCCCUAAGACGUGUUCCAGACAUGCAGUGCUAUAGAGAUGUUUGUCUGCCAAAGCGAACAGGCAUUUUUGGCCUUCGUUUCUGGUAAACAUAACUAAAUUUCUCUUCGAGUCUAUCUUCCCCAUCUACAUCAUGUUGAGAUCACUUGCUGAGCCAACAGGAGAAAUAGUAGGAUUUUUCUUGAAGACACUCACUAUCUCCUGAUCCAUCUUGGUGACUUCCAUGAUGUAGCAAACAAGCAUCCUCUUGAAGUGGUCAAUGAUCGGACCAUAUUCUGCUUCAUUUGUAAGAAGGAUGCUAUGCAAAAUAAUCCAGUCGUGUGGAUUCAAGUUGGGAAGAUCAGAAAGCGAGAUGGCAUGUUCGGUCUUGGCAGAUCCUCUCAGCACAUUAAACUGAACGUUGGUGAAGUUUCCUUCCAGAUACGGCUUGAGGACCCGAACACUAACAAUCUUCUGAGUGCUCCAUGUUUGAUACUGUGGUUGAGCGGCCCUCUGAUAGAAUUAGACCAAAUCUCGGUCAACCUUUGGAUGAGGAUGAGGGAACUCAGCAAUGUUGUCAAAGGCGUGAAAGACGAACGCCUUUCGGGUCAGUGGCAUGUCGAAUUGAGAAUCGACAGAAUUAUCACGAUCAAGUGAGAUCACUGGUUUUAGCCACAAGAUGCUUGGAGUUUCGAUGGCUUCUUUCAGCAACUUCUCAAGAUUCCAAGGAGGAAAAAGAGUUUUCCUACUCUCGACAAGGUCGUGAGCUUCUUUCUGUUUUCGUUCAGCUUCUUCAGCCUCUCUAGCAACCCGAGCGCUAAUGUCAGCGUCCUUGUCUCGGCUUUGCUUUUUCAAAAGAUCGGAAAUGGUCUCUUUAUCUUCAUCGUCAUUAUCUUCAGCAAUUUUCUUGCCCUUGUCUUUGACACCCGAACCUGAGGCUUCGCCUAUUGGAGGAGGUUCGGUUGUUUUGGUUGCUGUAGAAGUAGGAGGUGGUUGAGACACAUUUUUAUUUUCCCCCCUUGUUUCGGAAUGGACACGAAAUCAAGGAGCCCUUCAAUCUUGCUCAGGAGAGAAAGGGCAGGAGCAAGUUUUUCUGCGAGAGUUCGCCUCACAGAGUAGUUUAAAAUCGGGUCAUGUGCUUCCAGGAUGUUUGAGAUGGCUGCGUGGACAUCCGAAACACACGAAGACACAAUCUCUCUUUCAGAUCGAAGAGAGUCAAUCUCCUUUUGAGAAUUGGAGAGUUGAAUACUCUUGACCUUAAGAGCAGUGGUCUUUCUGGCAAGAGCAUCCAUAAGAGAAUUUUCAGCAGCAAGAUCUUCUUGAAGCUUAGUCAGUCGCUCCUCAAUCGUCACCUAAAAGGAUGAGUUGUCAUCUGAGAGAGUUUGACGAAGAGUGGCAAAUGACUUCAGUUCUGAGGCAAUUGAGGUAGCCAGCGUGUUGACGAUGGGGUCAAGCUUUUUUGUGGUGGCUUCGGCAGUUUCCUGUAAGGACUUCAACAGAGAGGAAGCAUCAGUAAAUAAUUUUUCAACUUUUUAGGUCGCUACCUCAUAGGCUUUGGUGGAUGUGGCAAUGGCGGCAGUAGCUGAGCUAACUGAGGCUUCAUGAGCCUUAGUAAAAGCGUCAACUAUUCUCUGAACAACUUUAGAGAAGGAGGACUGUGAUGAAGAAGAGGAGGCGAUGAGCGAAUCUAUCUUUUCGUGAAGCUCCUUAAGAUGCUUCUUGGUAACGGGAGCAUCAUCAUCGUCGUCACUCUGUACCUAAAACGAACUGUAAUAGACCGAAUCAAAUGUCAUAUCCUCCCCGCCGAGGAAUGGUUCUUCAUCCUCUGCUUCCUGAGCAGGAGAUGAGGGUGGAGGUGAAGGUGGAGGCUUGGUAGUUGUAGUAGGUUCGGGUUGGGAAGUAGGUUCGGUAGUUGGAGUGGGUUCGGGUGCUUUAGUAGGAGCCCCCGUAUUAGAUACGUUAGUUCUUACUUCAGCAGUGGUUGCGGUAGCGUCUGUAAAAAUAGGAGGUGGUACGGGGAUAGAGGUAGGUGGUAUUUUAGUGGUGGAGGUUAUGGGGGAAUGGAAAUAGGAAUGGUAACUGGUGGAGAAGAGAUAGGUGAAGUAGAAAAGUGAACUUCUGGGGUAGGCGAUCGUGGAGGAGUGUUGCAACGAGGAGACUCAUCAGAGUCUGAAUUAUCUUCCUCAGAUUUGCUUGAGGAUGAAGCCAAGAUCAGCUUUCACCUUGGUUGGGUUUUUCUCUUCUUCGGCGGAGGGGAUUGGGCAGCUUUGGUAGUUUUGCGUUUCUUGGGAGAAGGGCCUUUCGCUCCCUUGCCAAUCAGCUUGUCUUUGCCUUUGUCAUUCUUCUUUCCCCUUGGGGUAGGCUUGUCAACUUCAUGGAUGGACUUGAUCAUCUCAGGAGUGAGCUCUCUCGGACUAGAGCGACGAAACUCCUUGUAGGUUCGGAUUAUCCGGCUGUCUGCAGGAACAUCUCCAUACAUCGACUCAGGGAUAGAGCCGAUGAAUUGAAACUUAGAUGCGUCGGAGACAAUGAUCUUCGUGGUAUGGAAAGUACCAAUCGAAGACAUGGAGAACCAGCAACAAUGGGGACGUGGUACUUGUCCAUCACCCAUUUUGUAAUGAGAGUCCAAAAACGAGCAUAGGAAAUCUCGGAAUGCCGAGAAGUAGAAGCCAGACUCUGAAUGAGCUGCUGCCAUAGCACCGACCCAUAAUCCAGGUUGAUACCGUUGUAGACCCCAUAUAGAAUCGUGAUGAACAGACAACUCGCUCCGUCUGAUCCAGCACUACAUUCAGACAACCCUUUGAACAGCACUGUAAACAACCCAUUCCACUGAGGAGGCAGGCACGAUUUCUUGAACUUCGUGACCAUUGUUAGCACCUCAGUAUACCCCAUGUUGUAGAACAUAGAGAACAUGUGACCCACCGGAAUCGAUUCAGGGUUAACCCUAGAUGAAUCAGGUUCAAACCCUAAAAUUGAGCUGAAUCGCUGCUUGGAGAUUGACGCCUUGUGAUCAAGCACGUCGAAGAAGAUCAUGUCGACUGACUUGUCGUAAUGAGCAGUGGCGAAAAUCUGAGAUAAGAAGUCCAUAGGAACUGCUUCAGCUUUGGUAAGUGCAGGAGCAAGUGGCGAGUAUCUAAGGCACUCGAUGAUCGGGAACAUGAAGGCAUCAUAGACUUGAGGAGUAAGAUCGAUGAUCAAACUCUGUUGGGGAUGAAUCGGCAGGAUGUAGGAAGUGGCAUGAACUGAUGAUGAAUCUGCCAUUGUUGUGAAGAAGUUGAGAGAGAUGAUGAAGAGUAGAAUACGUGAAGAAUUUCUUAUUCUCUGAAAUUUGGGUGCAGUAAAGAGGUAAACAAUGGUUGAAGUCACCUUUUAUACUGUGGGUAGAGGAGAGAGAAGAAUCUGUCCCAAAUCUUCGAAGGAAAUACAAAGAGUUUUUCAGAAGUGAUUGAUGUGUGGCAGUUGGUAGCACCGAUGAUUACGCAUGAGAGAGAAUGACAGUCCCGAUUUACACGCCUUCCCGUCAGGCGCCGCUUUUAAACGAAACGGUUCCACUUCGCACGCCUGGCCUCCAAGCGCCGUUUGAAAACAAAUCGAUUGGACUCCCGCCUGAGUCAGCAUCUUAUCCUUUUAGAUUAAACGUCAUCUUAAAGCAAAAUUGACCACGUGGAUCAAUGUGAGCCACAACUCUUUUAUGACUUCAAAUCCCAUUUUAAAAAAUAUGCCUUGUGACUAAUGAAACCAGAAUUUUGGAAAAUCAAAAAGAUUUUCGUGCGUAUUGUGUAAAAGAAAAAGAAAUAAAGCAACACAUAUGAGGGAAUUUGUGAUGUCAGUAAAGACACGAAACAAAGGAUCUCAGGACGAAUCUCUUCCUUAAAAGUCAAGAGGGACUUUAAAGUGUUUGUGUGGUUUCCCGUUGAAUAACGAUCAAACACUUAUUGAGAAGUGUUGAAAGGCUUCUUUUAAUCAGGCUAAGUUGGGUGGCUUUCGCUUCAGUUCAGAGUUCCUGAUCUUGCUAUAAGAUAGUAAUCGAACGAAGUACUUGUGAGACCAAUGCAGUCUGUUGAACAAGUAGGUUUGAAAUAUUUUAAGUGGUAAUGAAAAAUAAUUUUAUGUAAAAUCUCAAAAAAAAAAUUAAAACUGGAUUUCCAAGGGAAGAAAUGUUAUGGGUUUUAACAAUUUCAUAGGAAUCACACAAAAGAAAAUCAGAGAUUUUACUUUCCAUCCUCAUUGAUAAGUCCGUCAAUUCGUUAGUGAAAGCUAGAGCAAAAUUGAUUGUUCACCGUCAAUACAUAGUAGGUAUUGAAUUGUGGGUUUCACUUAGUACGUAGUGACACGAAGCUAAGAUCACAAACAUAGAAAUUGUGUAACCAUAAACCUCAGUGGUAAUUUCUGAGAGUCUCAAGGGUUACGUUUAUGAAGCGAAUGAGAUGGAGAAAAGUAGUGUAGAUGGUGUAAAGAAAAACCAAAGUACCUCUGCUGUUAAAAUAAGGACCAAGCAGAAAACACUUAUCUCAUGUGAGAGGAGAGUUAGGUAGCUCAUGAUUAGAAUAAAUGUGAAAGCCUAAUUGGGAAGACAAAGUUUAUAUGUACCAAGUCAGUAAGGCUAUUAUUCAUAAUCAGGUGAGGCUUUGGACACAUACAGCAGCAUGCUUCUAGGGACACUUAACUAAUGAAAUAUUUUUUUCACACAAAUAGCCACACAAAAAUAAGAGAUAAAAGAAAUAUCGUACAAAUAAAAAUAAAAAAUAAAAAAAUAAAAAAAAUAAAAAUUAUUUUUGGAGUUUUUGAUUUAAAAAAAACAAAAAAAUGAGACAUACAAAAAAAAAUUUGGAACCGAACCCGAGCGUUCCGUCGAUUUCGGUUGCAAAGAAAAAUAAGUUUGAAAAAGAAAAGAACUUUGAAAAUAAGAGAGAUGAAUUUGAGAAAAUGAUACAAAAGAUUUACAACCAAAGAAACUACCUUUGAGUGAUGAGCGAAGAUCAGAUGAUAGGACCGAACCCGAGCGUUCGGUUCAUUUCGGCACACAAGUGACCCGAACCCGAACGUUCGGUACAUUUCGCUUCCGACUUUUAAUUUUGUGAAGUAGUCUUUGGUACUAACUCCGAUUCCAUCAUACCAAGCCCUUGUAGAAUUUUAUUGAAAGAUGCUUCAGGAAGAGCUUUGGUGAAGAUGUCAGCCAGUUGAUCAGUGGUUCGAACAAACUGAAUUUCGAGGUUCCCAUCUUCCACAUGAUCCUUAAUAAAGUGAUACCUCAGUGCUAUAUGCUUUAUCUUGGAAUGUUGCACUGGAAUGAUCCUUAAUAAAGUGAUAGCUCAAUGCUAUAGUGGGAUCUUUUUCAUAUUGAGUCCAUAGUCCCGGAGCUGCGAUGUAUUCUACUUCGGCUGUAGACUGAGAAACACAUGUUUGUUUCUUUGAUUGCCAGCUAACCAACUUCCCGUCUACGAAUUGACAGCCUCCAGUGGUGCUUUUCCUGUCUAAACCACAACCUCCAAGGUCUGCAUAUGAGUAGGCUUGAACAAAGAAACCUGAGUUUGAUGGAUGCCAUAAACCGAGACAGGUAGUUCGUUUCAGAUAACGGAGUAUGUUUUUCACUGCAAGCAUAUGUGGUUCACGAGGAUUCGCCUGAAACCUAGCACAGUAACACACAGAAAACAUUAUAUCAAGCCUGCUAGCUAGANCUAAGUUUCAAGGGUUUGCACCCUAUUUAAACCCUCAUUCCGCCCCAACUCGUCCCCAUUCACCCCAGAACUCCCCCCUACAUCGUUUUUCCCUUGUUUUCUUGAGAGUUUGAGGUGCUCUUAGUGUAUUCUUGAAGGUUUUGAAGUGUAAAAGGGUAGAUCAAGAAGAGGAGAAGGAGAUCAGCCAACCUUGUGUCAUUUCAGCAUUUCCCCUUAAGGUAUAACCCGUUUUCCCCUUGAUUCUAUGCUUAAAACUUCAUUUGGGUCCUUCUUGGUCAAUUCCCCAAGUUUGCAUGUUCAUUAUAUGUUGUAAUAAGGCGUUUGGCCUUUGGAUCUAUGUAAGAUNAACCCUCAUUCCGCCCCAACUCGUCCCCAUUCACCCCAGAACUCCCCCCUACAUCGUUUUUCCCUUGUUUUCUUGAGAGUUUGAGGUGCUCUUAGUGUAUUCUUGAAGGUUUUGAAGUGUAAAAGGGUAGAUCAAGAAGAGGAGAAGGAGAUCAGCCAACCUUGUGUCAUUUCAGCAUUUCCCCUUAAGGUAUAACCCGUUUUCCCCUUGAUUCUAUGCUUAAAACUUCAUUCGGGUCCUUCUUGGUCAAUUUCCCAAGUUGCAUGUUCAUUAUAUGUUGUGAUAAGGCGUUUGGCCUUUGGAUCUAUGUAAGAUUGAGCUCCAGGAGCUCAGAUCUGUUAGCUUUUUGGUCCCAUAAGGCUUGCUAGCCCUAGAUCUACCAUUUUGAGACAUUUUGAGCCUUAUAAUCCUUAUUGGUGGAUAUCCACACGUAAAGUUGGAAACUUUACGUGUGAUUCGUGUCCUAGAAGUCCAGAUCUAUGAAUGGCAUAGUCUGGAACCGAGCAAAUCGGUAUAUUUAAGGAGUGCAUGGCGACGACUCGGCGAGUCGCAUAGGUGACUCGGCGAGUCUGGUCGCGAGUCACAGAAUUGGUCCCUUCUUCAUGUGUCGAGUUGAGCCUUGAGUCACAGGGGGUGACUCGGUGAGUUGGGAGCUGAACUCACCCAUGUUAGGACUCGGCGAGUCAAUGCCCUGACUCGGCGAGUCCAAGGCAAUCUUCAUAGCUCAAGAACAGACUCGGCGAGUUGUUCAUACAACUCGGCGAGUCUUAGCAUAAAGUGUUCAUCGGAUGAAGAUGAACUCGACGAGUUGUUCAUACAACUCGGCGAGUAGGAUGAAGGUGUUGAAUGGCAGUUAGAAGGUGAACUCGUCGAGUCAUAGCCCGACUCGACGAGUAGAACCAGGGACCCAGGACAUUGGUUUGCUAGGGACUCGGCGAGUGGUGAUCCACUCGGCGAGUCGGGUCAACUGAAAGUUGACUCCAGCUUUGGCUUAGAGUUAAUCCAGGGGUAAAAUGGUCAUUUUACCUAAAGGACAGUUAGCAGUGUUUGAUUGAGUAUGUCGUGGAAAUUGCAGCCGGAGGACUCCCGGAGCAGCAGCAGUCAGUUAGUUCCCGAUCAGUUCAGCAGCUACUUUGAGGUGAGUUACCUUCCAGUAGCGGUGGGUCUAAGGCCACAAUGCCGACCCACCAGUAGGAGUUGUAUGAUAGAUGAUUGUCUUUGUGAUAUCAUCUAAGUUCGCUAGUACCUGACAUGUUAUAUGCUAGCAUGAUAUGCUGUAUGUGAUAGUAGUAGAGUUUGGUUGUUCGGACCGAAGGGUAGUCAGACACCCCAGAUACGUCUGACAGUAUGUGACGAUAUGUAUGCAUGCUGGCUUGUUAUGUUAUAUGUGAUCGUAGUAGUAGGGGUGAAAUAGUCCCCGAGGAUCGGUUGUUAGGACCGAUGGGUAGUCAGCACCCCAGAAUGGCUUGACACGGGUAAGACGGCACCCCAGAAUGGCCGUAUGGGUAGGUCNNNNNNNNNNNNNNNNNNNNNNNNNNNNNNNNNNNNNNNNNNNNNNNNNNNNNNNNNNNNNNNNNNNNNNNNNNNNNNNNNNNNNNNNNNNNNNNNNNNNNNNNNNNNNNNNNNNNNNNNNCUUCGGUUUCUUAGGAGAUUUACUGGGACUGUACUCUGAUAUUUUGAUGGGAUGUACGGUGUGGCUUUUUAGAACGUGGUUGCAAUGUUUUAUGGUGUGAACAAACAACGUUUCUUUUUGUUUAGACAAUGUUUUUAUUCAUUAAUGUUUUCUAAAGUAAUAUUUAAAAAAAAAAAAAUGAAAUUUUUGGACGUAAAAAUUGGGUCGUUACAGAGCUUGGUGCCGAACGCCAUUGGAACUUUAACCUUUGAGUCUCCCAUCAUGCCGAAUUUAGCAAGAAGAGUCUUGGUGUAUGCUUCCUGGUUGAUAAAGAUGCCUUCGGGUCCCUGUCUAAUAUUUAAACCAAGGAAAAAGUUAAUCGGACCCAUUGAGCUCAUUUCAAAUUUAGUCUCCAUCAGCUUUCUAAAUUCAGCUGUUAAGCUAGGAUUCAUUGAGCCAAAGAUGAUAUCAUCGACAUAGAUUUGAACAAUCAUAAGGUGGUUACCUUCCUUCUUACGAAAGAAGGUUGGGUCAACCGAACCUUGUUUGAAUUUUGACAUCUUUAAAAACUUGGUUAGCGUUUCAUACCAUGCCCUAGGUGCUUGUUUCAGACCGUAAACCGCUUUGUCCAGAAUAUAACAGUGAUUUGGGUACUUUUCAUUGACAAAACCAGGAGGUUGCUCCACGUAAACCGUUUCUUCAAGUUCUCCAUUCAGAAAGGCGCAUUUCACGUCCAUUUGGUAGACCUCGAAGUUCUUGUGUGCAGCAUAGGCCAGAAAUAUUCGAACAGAUUCCAGCCUUGCUACCGGAGCAAAAGUUUCCUCAUAAUCAAUUCCUUCUUCCUGGCAGUAUCCUUUCACCACGAGACGAGCUUUGUUUCGAAUCACAUUGCCUUCCUUGUCCAUUUUAUUUCUGAAUACCCAUUUGAGACCAACAACUGAGGCAUCUUUAGGAGUUGGAAUGAGGCGCCAUACCUUGUUUCUUUCGAACUCGUUGAGUUCAUCUUGCAUAGCUUGAACCCAGUCAGAAUGAUCAAGAGCAGUAUCUACUGUCUUCGGUUCAACUUUUGAUACGAAAGAAUUAUACAUGCAGAACUCUACUUUGGAGAAUAGAGAUGUUUGUUUUGCCUUCAGUUGAGAUCGGGUCAGGACCUUUUCAGAGACAUUACCCACUAUCUGAGAUACAGGACGAUCUCUGGUCCAUUUAACAAGAGGAGGGUAAUUUGGAUCAUAGGAGGGAUCCUACUUAGCAUUGACCAUUUCUUCCAAUUCAGAUUGACUAUCGUCGUCGUAGAACAUAUCGGUGUUCCCCCCCUCGACUGAUGAGCUUUUAGUUGUAGUUGGACUUUCUGGUGCUACAGGACUUUCAGGUGUUGUUGAGCUUUCGGGUGCUGAAGGUCUUUUGGGUGCUGUCGAGCUUUCGGGUGGAACUGGAAUAGAAUUCUCCCCCUCAAUUUGUGAGCUCGGUUGUUUUAAAGAAGGUGGAUUCUCCCCCUCAACUGAAGCGCCUUGCUGAGGAGGUUCAUUUGGAACUUGUUCUUCUUCACCCAUUCGUUUGGCGGCAUCUUCGACAAUUUGCUUCAGAUGGUCCACUUUGUUGUCUGCUGCCUUGGCUUCCAAGAGAGUAGCUUUCUCAGGUUCAUCGAAUAGUUCCACAAACUGAUCGAACAGAUUAGCAAUCGAGGCCGUGACUUAACCUGUUUGAGUGAAUAUCUCUCCAAUUGUUUCUUCAGUAGCUUUUAGCUUUUUGAUGUAGUUAUCAUUGAAAGUCACAUAAUAUGUUUCUUCGAUCUUCCUGGAGCGCUUAUUUAAGACCCAGUAAGCUUUGGAAGUAAGAGAAUAUCCCAGAAAAAUUCCUUCAUCAGCUUUAACGUCAAACNAGUUGAAGACAGCAUCGUGAGCCGAACACAUGGAAGAAUUUUACGUUCGACUUCCUGUUAUUGAUGAUCUCAUAAGGAGUAAGAGAGAAGCGCUUGUUGAGAUACGACCUGUUCUGUGUGAAACAUGCUGCAACAAUAGCAUCAGCCCAAAAAUAUAAUGGAAGAGAAGCAAAACUUAGCAUCGUUCGGGCCGCCUCACACAAGGAUCGGUUUCGUCUUUCCAUAAUUCCAUUCUGUUGAGGUGUGUAGGGGGCUGAGAAGUUGUGACUAGUUCCUUUUUCUGCUAAAAAGUCUUCAAAUUCUUUAUUCUUGAAUUCCAGUCCAUUGUCACUACUGAUGUUGCGAACGACUUUUCUCAGUUGCAUUUCAACCUGCUUAAUAAACAUCUUUAGCUUAGGAGUAGCCUCAGAUUUGUGCUUCAGAGAGAACACCCAUGUAAAACCUGAGAAAUCAUCAACAAUAACAAGAAUGUACUUGCUACCGCCAAUGCUUUCGAUAGAUGAUGGACCACACAAGUCAAUGUGAAGCAACUCAAGUGGUUCAACAACUUCUGUGUUUAUAAUGGAUGGGUGACUUUGACGACUUUGCUUCCCCAUUUCACAUGCAACGCACAAAUGUUCUCGAUCAAACUUGAGCAAUGGGAGACCCCGAACAUGACCUCCUAUGACAAGCUUGUUGAUGUCUUUGAAGUUGAGAUGUGAGAGUCUUCGGUGCCACAACCAGCUUUCGUCAGAAUUAGCUUUGGACAAAAGACAUAUAGCUGGAUUCCUUUGAUUGGUUUGAGAUUGAGAGGAAACAUUUCGCCUUUGCGUUCUGAUUUGAGAAUCACCCUUUUUGAUUUCUUCUCUAUGAUUUCUGAACCUUCAUCGUCAAAUGAAACCUUGAGACCGGUACCUCCCACUAGUUGAGACAUACUGAUGAGAUUAUGCUAUAGCCCUUCAACGUAUGCCACCUUUCUUAUUGUGAAGUCUCCAUUGGUUAUCAUACCAUAACCUUUUAUCGUUCCAUAGGAGUUGUUGUCGAACUUGACAUUCCCACCAUUCUGAAGAGAUCGAUACUCCCUUAGCUCUUCCUUUCUCCCUGUCAUGUGACGUGAGUAGCCACUGUCAAUAUACCAUUCUUCGUCGAACUGCUCGUCACUUAUAACCUACAAAAAUUAAGCAGAUUUAGGAACCCAAAGUUUCUUGGGUCCAUGUGAGCUUUUCACAGGAACAGGAAUAGUAAGAGAAACAUCAACAAGAUAUGUUCUUUUUAUUAAUGUUGUUUCAUCUUUUCUUUUAAUGGUAAACACUUUGAUUUUGUUAGGGUUAGCAACAGUUGGUUUGGUUUCAGGUUUUGGUGUUUGGGCCUUAGACUGCUUUCGGUCUUCCUGGACAGAGGAAAUCUUCGAUUUUCCUUUCAGGUUCGUUGACGAUUUAGAGUUUUGUACAGGAACAGAAUUGGGUUUAGAAGAUAAUUGAGAACGAGAAGAAUUAGAAUGAGAAUUUCUUCUGACUUGUGGUUCUAAAUGACCCUUUUGUUUAUGGUCAGUAGAGGGACCGAACCUGGACGUUCGGUAGCUGUUGCUUUCGGGACCGAACCUGUCAUUUCGGUACUGUUCCUCAUGUGGCCUGAAAGCCUUUUCUUCUGAAUUUGAAUCUUUAUCAUGAUAGGAGAAAUGGGCGUUUUGAGAUCGCCAAAACUACUUUCGCUCUGAGAGAUUCUUUUUGUAUCUCAGAUUCCUUUGCUGCUUUUGAUUUUUCACUUGUUUCGGCUGUCUGUGGAUGUUAGCCUUUUGUUUCAGCUUCUUGUCAGCCGGUUCACUUUUCACAGAUGAUGUUUCGCUUGUGGAACUGACUUCUUCUACAGGUAUUUCUUUUGUGCCACUUGUGCUUGGCACGUCAAAGUUGUCAGGCUUAUUCAGCGGCUCUGGUACAUAUCUUCCUUUUGUUUUCCAGGACGUUCGCUCUGACAAACCAAUUGUUUCGUCAGCAUAAUCUAUAGGAGCUGACCAGAAGAACUCAUCACAACCAUCUGCGUUAUCGUCGACAUUAAGUUCAGAUGUGUUUUCUACAUCAAUUUUAUUUUAUGAACUUAAAUUAGCAUUCAAUGAGUCGAAUUUUUGUAUGGUUUCAGUCCUUAGCUUCAAUUUAUCGUUUUCAUCCAAAAGAUUUUUCAGCAUGUCCUUAUAGUCUUUGGACUUUAUAAAAGAUUCUAUUUUGUCCAGACCAUACAUGUAAGUGGGAUUCACAUCAUCAGACGAUACAACACUUUCACAGUUGUAUGCCUCAGCAUCGAUUUCAUCCUCCUUAAACUCAAGGAAGCGUAAAAUCAUGCGAUGUAUUUUCUGCCCUAUUUCACAAUUCAUAUGCAGUUGAGUAAUGUCAGCAUAAAGUCUUUUAGCAAUCAAACAAAAAACAGUUCUUUGUUUUAAAAGUUUUAAAUUGUCUCUUUGUAAAUAAAUGUUUUCAUCCUUAGACUUAAUCAGCUCUGACUCCUUCUGCUCAAUCCACAUCCUUCGCUCCUCACUCUUGGAUGACACCCUGCUUAUUUGGUCAGUUAGGUUAGAAUUGGUGACCCGUGUUUGAGUUAAAUAACUAUCCAGAUUUGAGAUUCUUGAAUUUAAGUUAUUUAAUUCCUUUUCAUAUGAUUUAUGUGGAACUUUGAACGAGAUAACGAUAGAUUGUACCUUCUUGAUCAAUUCGUCAAGUUCAUUGAUCUGCACACUGAUAGGUUUUGCUGUGAAGCAUAGGUCCUCUCGCUCCUUGGUGUCCUCAUUUCAACCAUCUAUAUUUUAUCCCUUCAUGUGAGAUACGUCAGUCACCAUCAAACACUUUCCGCCACUUUCACCACCUCUUGCCACAUACGCCUUUCCAUGCGAAGGCUUUCUCACCUCAUCGUCUUCUGAGUCGGUUGACCACACCUGCAUGCCACCGAACUCGUCAUCCUCUGCCGAACCCUGUACAAUAAGAGCAUUCAUAGAAGGGUUAGUAGCAGCUUUCUUCCUCUUGAUCUCUUCCAGCUUUUUCAUCAAGACAGCCUCUUCAUCUUUCUCCUCAUCCUUCUCUGCCAUUUUCUUCAGAACACAAUCUUUGGCAUAAUGGUUCUUUCCUCCACAAUAGUAGCAGUUGACACCAGAAUCUCCUUCAACCUUCGCCUCUUUCUUUGGUUCCUUAGUCUUCGACUCCUCCCUUACCUUUUCUAAACUGUAGCUUCCCUGCCAAUUUUGGUUUUUAUUGGCAGGAAACCUCUGCUUGAUGAACCUUUUUGGAUUGGACACCAUCAUAGCAUAAUCUUCUGAGGUAAGAUCGUAGUCCUCCAGGUUUAGAUCUUCAUCUUCUACUACAUUCUUGCUUUUGGACAGGAGGGCCAAGGACCCCAAACUUGAGACCACAUUCUUCUCUUGCAUCACAAUCUUUUCUUGGGAUUUCAGAAUCCCCACCAGUUUAGCCAAUAAAUAUGACUUGAACUGCUCAUGAGCUUUAACUGUGGACACAACAACUCUCCAUUCAGAUCGUAAGCCAUUCAAAAAAGUGACCUUCUGUGCGAUCAGCUUCCUUUCGAUAUCAUGUUUGAUCAUUUUGCUAAGAAGAUGAUUGAAGCAAUCAAUCGUCUGUGUGACGGUCUCAUCAGAAUUUUGCUUGAAUUCUCCAAAUCUUCAUCUGUGGAAUACAGCUCUCGCAACCUAUCCCAGAUUUCUUUAGCGGUACUGCAGGAACUCACCAACCUAAACGUGUCAGAUUGAAGAGCAAAUCGGNAGCAAAUCGGUCAGUCUCAAUGCUUUGAUGUUGCACUGAAACUUGUCCUUUUCGUCUUGAGCAACAUCUUUUACAUCUUUUAACAGAUCAUUAUAUUCUUUCUGAGUUUUAAUGAUCUUGGGUGUUCUUGAGUGAGCAAAUGGUCCAGACACAAUGGCUUCCCAAAUGAGAUACCCAGUAUCUUCAGAUCUGAUAACAUAGUCUUCAAAAUGAUGAGCCCAAACUUCGUAAUCCUGGGUGUAUUGAAUAGGAAUCUUCGUCAUUGAUCCAAUAUUGUUUGAGAUGUUGAUAGGAUUAGAUUAAGAAUCGUCCAUGCUUGAUCGUUUAACCUGUUUGAAAGAUCAGACUUGUAAUAUGUAAUAUUAGGGCAAAAGAAUAAAUACUGAGAUACGUCAAUUAUGGAGUGACGGCUCAAUAAAUAUCAGUUAAUGCGGAAUAACCCUAAUCACUUCUUUCACAGAAGAGAUGUGUAUGAAUUACACAGCCUCCUGCUCUGAUACCAAUUGAUGAGUUUAUAAAACUCUUUGAUCGAUUAGAUCUUUAUAACUGGCAAACAAGUAAAGUAAAAACAGUGAAAUAAAAACACAAGUAUGGAUCUGAAUGAGUCGAAUGAUUAAAAUCAAUCCUCAACAGAGCUCGAUGAAGAACUUCCGCUGUAGAGGAUUCUAGGGUUACAACAGAUAAGAACAUAAACGCUAUUAAAACUCUAUCAAAUCUUUUCUUAUUUCCCUAUAAAGAAUGCAUGCAAGUAUCUAUAUAUAAUAACCGUACAAAUAACUCACAGAUGGACAGGCCCAUACCAGAGACAAAACUAGACUAGCUAACGAGCCCAAAGACGCAACACUAAACUGGACCUAACACUUAUAUUCAUAGUCGUUGUUAUGAAUCUAUAAAUAAGAUUUAUUAGUAGUUCCAUGUCAUAAUACUGAUUGAUCUACUUAUAUGAGUGAUGUCCAUGCUAGAUCUAGUGAGAUGUUUAAAGUGUGAUUUCCAAAUAGUAUACUCUAGUUACCAAAUGGACCCUACCUCUGAUAUGAUCUUACAUGGUUAUUACUUACUUGAUAGAUUUUGAUGUAGACACUGGGAUUAGUGAGGAAUCUAGACUGUCAUUAAUCGCAAGGAAUAUAAGACUAACACUUAGUGAUAUUUGUACCUAGGUCAUAUCAAAGGAAAAACUAAGGUGUUAAGCUAAGCUCCGGCCAAAUCAAAAGUCAUCCACUUUAACAAGUGAGUACAUAUUUACUUUCAUCUUACACACAAAUAUGAAGUAUUUAGAUAAUUAACUGUUCUAUGUGCUUAUUAUAUGUUAUGAAGAUAUUAUAUGUUAGAUGAAUAAAUAGGAGAUGAUUUUUAUUUAACCAUAUUUGUAUUUUUGUACUUAUAAUAUAUUGGCUAGUGAAGGGUGAUGGGAGAUGAAAAUAAUGAUGAGUGGACAUGAUUUUUACAGUACUAUUAUAAUAGUGAUGUAGGAUAUUGUAGGGUAUUGAGGACAACCACAAACUAUUCUAGACAAGUCUAGUGAAAUGUGGAUAGGCUUGCAACCUGUAGGUGUUUAUAAGCCACACAUUGGAAAGUUGACAACAUGUAGGUGUUAAUUAACCAUACAUAGGCAAGUAUUCGACCUAGGAUCAGGGAGGGAGAAUAAUGAGAAUAAAGAGAACAAUGAGAAAGGGUAAUCAGGUUAUUUGUCAACUCAAAGAUCCUUUAGGAUAGGUCAUCAUCCUAGGAUUAGAGAGUGAGAAUAACUAAAAUGGGUUAUUUUUUGAUGCAUAAUAUAUAAUUAAAAUAAACUAAUUAUAUUAUUUUGGGUUGGAAACACUAUAUGGCUCACCAAGCUCCCAAGUCUGACCCACUCAGUUUCUUUGUAUCAUAGGUAGCGAUGUUUGGAUCUGAUGAGAGAUUCGAUGAGAUAUAGGUCAUUAGUAUAAUAAGAUGUUGUAAGACAUGUUAUGACAAGUUUGUGCUUAUGCUUUGUAUCAGUUAUGACAUUCCAAAUCAUUUUAUAAACCGUUUGUUCAGAAAUGCCUUGAUUAAAAUAAUGUUUUGGGAAAAAAUUCUUCAAUAAAAAAUACUCUGAAUAAAACAAAACAUGAUUUUUUUAAUUGGCCGUAAAAUUGGAGAUGUCCCAAAAAAACCCAAUCACUUGAAAAUAUUCAACUGCAAAAACUAGCUCACUCUCUCCCAAAGGUACUAUCACACUCAUCACCUGGAAAAAAUCUAGAAGUUGUGAUUACAAACAACUCUAGCUAUAUAUUUCAAAACCGGGAAUACAUUAGCCUAAAACUUUAGAAACCAUACCUCAUGACUAAUUAUCGUCCAUCUAUCGGACCUACCCAUAGUCCCUGUCUAGGGACGCCACUACACCAUGCAUAACAAAACACCCAAAACAUCCCGAUCGUGAAUUUCAAUCAAUCCCGAAUCUAGAAAAUAUGCCCAAAAGACAUUGAUUACACACUUGACUUCGUGACAAAUCAUUACUAUCCCACCACUCCCAUGAGCGUAACAGUGGUCAACCCAAAAUGUCAUGUAGCAUCCAUACUCCCAAACAUUCAGGUAAACCACCUCCUGAUAAAUCAUCCAAGAUUCUUACAAUGAACUCCAUCACUGGUAACUUCACAUGCUCGAAACAGUUCUCAAAUUGGACCAGGAUCUACUAAGGAGAAAAUCAAAAAAGAAUUGUUGCUAUACGACCAUGAAUUUUCCAAUAAAUCCACCUCCUACUAAAGUCUAACCCAUACCUUAAUAGGGUGCAAAGUUCUCCUUGUAUGUGGAGUGUAGGCUUACCCUCUUGUAUUGUGUAAUGAGUUGUUUUUCCUAUAAAUGGGAAGCGAUUGACACUCAUUUAUGAAAUGAACUUCGAAGACAUUAGAUUAGUGAGAGAGUUUUUACAUUACCCACUUUGUAAUACUCACUUGAUCUAAUGAGAGCUUAACUGGGUUAUUUUCUCCUCGCAUUUUUGAUGUUUGUAUGAUUCACUGGAUCUUUUCAAUUCCACACAUGUCAUCAUAAUUAGGAUCACUACAAUUGGCAUCAGAGUGUGUGUUCUUGAAUCUUUCAAGAAUUGAUCCAUGAUGAAAACAUGAUUUUAGUGAAUCUUCAUUGUCGUGGGUUCUUCAUUUUUAAGAAAGUUGAUGUUCUAAAAAUCGAAUUUAUCUUGAUUUGAUAGAAAAUAUGAGUUUCUCUCUCUAGAAUACUUGUUUGUUUCACGUUCUCUCUCUAGAGAUUUUAUUCAUAUUCACUUUCUUUCUCUAGAAACUUUUCAAAUUCUUGUGAUCAUGGUGUAUUUGGCUUAUGAUUCUUGGAUCUUGAUGAUUGAAGAUGUCAAAUACAAAGCUAACAAGAAACAAUUUUAUGGGUUUUUGUUGAAAGGAGGGUUGAUUUCAUGGGAAACUUUGAUUUCUUAUGGAAUCUUGAAAGAUGAUUAUGGAAUAUUGAUAUUUCAACCACUUUCGAAGAUUAGAUGUUUGCUUGAAAUCACCAUGAUUAUCUUAUCUUGGUGUGAAAAUUAAAAGGAAGGAAAAGAAAGAGAAUUACAAGAAGGAAUAUGUUUCUCUUAUGGAAGACUCAAAUGAUCUUCAUGUUCUUAAGUUUGUUGAAUUUCAAGAAAUGGGAAUUCAAUGUGAUUUUGAUGAAGAUGUGAAAGUUUUUCAUUCAAUUGGAGUUCAAACCAAUGAACGCUUGAAUUCUUGUGAUUCGUUUGAAGGAAUGGUGCCUUAUAGAAAGCCUUCAAUCCAAUACAUUCAAAUGUAUCAAACUCCAAUAGAUUUGAUUCAAACUUGUAAAGUUGAAGUUGUCAAGAAUGAAGAUGUUCUUGAAUUCAAAACUUCAAGAUCCAAAAACAUGAGAAAGAAACAGAAGAAGAACAACAAAAGCAAGAACAAAUGAGUUUCUUCACAAAAAUCUUCAAAAGUUGUUAUGAAUUAGAAAUCUAUGAAGCAAAUUUGGGUUCCAAAGCAACACUCAUCAAAUGUUGCAAUGAAUUUGAAUUCAAAACCCAAAAGUGUAGAUGAUUCAUAUGAAGAUGAUGCUAGAUCGUUGAAGAACACGAAGAACGGUUUGUACAAUACACAUCGUGGGUGGUAUAAUGUGAAGAUUGGAAACUUUCUUGUUCCAACAAAAGAACCAAGAUCUUCAAUGAUUAAUUCGUGUUUUGAAAAUGGAAAAAAUAAUCAAGAAGGUAUCUCAAUUCCUCAAAUGGAUUCCUAAACGUUCUUGAUUUUUGAUGAUCUGAUGAAGAACGAUCCAGGUUUUAUUGAAAUUCAAUCUUAAAUUCAAUUUGUGAUUUUCAUUUUUGAUUGUUGAUUGUUUUGUUUCAUUGGAUCUAAUUUGUUUCAAACGCCAUUAGUGAUCUAAUUAUUUUUUGUUUAGAUCAAACCCCCAAAAUCAAAAUCAUAUUCUCACCUUUUUUUCUUUUGAAAUCCAUUUUUUAGACCAAUUAGAACAUUUUCAUACCUUGAGCCCAAAUUAUAAUUUGCUUACUGUUCAAAAUCGAGCAUAAUAAGUCCUAAGCUGGUUAUAGUUCAUCAAUUUCUUGUCAUAUACCUAUGUUAAUUCUCAACAUCAAUACUCAAAUCGAGCGAAACAAUUAACUCGUUUGCAUCGAGAAGAGUCCGACUACUAGUUCGUAUCAAAAAUUGACUUGAAUUGAACAUGUAUUGGGAUCGAUUUCAAAUUUUGUUAAUAUUUUUGAAGUCGAUUUCGAAAAAAAUGGGUUAAUGGUCGAGUGUGUUUGAGGUUGAAUUGACAUCGAAAAUGGAUGUUUGAUUGCUUGUGUCAAACAAUUCGACAUGCGAUGAUUUCUUUCGAUUGUUCUCAUCGUCUAUGUUUGUGUGAUUCUGUUUGGUCAUAAGAGUUGACAUCGAGGGCGAAUAGUGUACAGAUGGAGUAUUGAGUUCGAACCGUGUUGGAGUCAAAGUCAAUUGAUACUGGAAAUUGAGUUAAUCAUUGGAGUCAAAAGCCUAUGAUUGGCCUUACUAGUGUCGAAAUUAGUUUUGAUUUUGGAGUUGAAUGUCUUGGGACAAACGACUUCACUGAAGAUGAACUCUUAUUGGACUGAUUCAUCGCACAAAAUUCAUUGGAAUGGUGAAAUCAAAUUCAACUUAUGUUCCUUUUGUUUUUAUUGUGAUUUUGAAUGUGAUGGUGAGUCCACAUUGAACGUGUAUAUUAGAAUCAAAAUGCUUAAUGUUGAAUUAUAUGGAGUAUUGGAAUUCGAUGUGUAUGUUGGAAGACUUCGAUGUGUAGGAAGAACUUGGAUUUUGAUAGCAAAAAGUUGAAUGUUGAUAUCGAACAAGGAUUCACUAUGGGUUAAUUGCUUGGGGUGUCGAACAGAUUUCAAAAGGACUGUGAUUUUGAUGUGUGGAUUGAAAAAUUCGACAUGUAAAAAUUGAAAAUUGUUUUCGACCUCGCGGUAAUGAAGUCUUACAGUUGGUGAAAGUCUCGUAAUCACAGUUAAGGAGUAUAGUAACAAAUGGCUGAUUUCGAUGGAUCGGUUUGAUGUUGUUUGGAGUAGAAAUUACGUUUGACUAUGAUGAUGUUUCAUGGUGUCGAAAUCAAAUUUGACUGAUUUCGAAGGCGAUCGUUGCUAACUACAAGUCAAACGUGUUGAGUUUGAAUCAUAAUUGAAUGUGUUUGAUGGAUUGUGACAUCCCCAAAAUGACGUCCAGAAAAGACCGGUUUGUUUAUGCUUUGUUUAAAAAUCAGAGUAACAUUUUAAAUAAAAGUGUUGCGGUUUUGUCCCAAAACAAAAUAUGAUAAAGAUUUAUCAAAAGCAUUUCCAUACAAAUGUAUUUCAUUAAAAGACUUGGGAUGUCAUGUUCGUACAGAUCAAAAGCAUAAACAGUACAAUAUAAGCGUUACUACAUUAUUUCAUAACUACAGGCCUAUAUCCGAUUAAUCUCUCAUCCCAAGACAUCACAUCUAUGCUCAUGCGCCACUACCUGUAAUACAAGAAACUGAGUGGGUCGGGCUUGGGAGCCUGGUGAGCACAUAGGGUAUUCAACCCACAAUAAAUAAGUUUAUUAACUUCAUUAAAUUAAACAAACCCGAUUACCUGUUCCCGUUAUCCUCACAUUACGUCCCUAAGCAUCUAUCAUAAGGGACCUACCCUAAGGAUUAUCAUCGGGACGGACACUACUGCUAAGGGGAUUCCUCAGCAAUAAAUGUCCUUGAGGCAACCAUGUGGGGGAUGGAGUACAUCUGGUGAGCACACAGUUCAAAUAAACACACAGUUCGAAUAAACACCUACAGGUUGCGAGCCUGCUAGUGUUCCACUGGACUGUCUAGAAUAGUCCGUGGUCGUCAUCUAUACUCCGCUAGAUGACUGAUUCAUCAAUAACAUCUAUAACGAGGCCUCUCAUUAUUUUAUUUCGUCACACAACAACUAUUACAUCUACCCAUGUUUUACCCAACACAUUUUGUAGAUAUAAAAUACAUAUACAGUUUAAAUCAUUGAAAACAUGUAUAACAAUGUUCAUCCAGCAUAGAUAGCAAGUAUUCAGAUAAUAUGCACACAUAGCACGUAAUUUAUAUAAAAUACUUCAUAUCUAUGUGUAAGCUGAAAGUAACUAUGCACUCACCUGAGUAGGUGGUGACUCGGCGCUUGGACAGCACUUCGUUACUCUUAACACACUUUUCCUUUGGCAAAACCUAGUAUCAUUGCCACUAGGGUUUAGUCUAACGAUAACCGCGAUUAAUUAAUAGUCUAGCUAUUAUUAUUAUUAUAUAAGCGUUAAACGAUACUUAUAUAACCCAUAAUAAUAGCCCAAGUACUUAUUAUAAGGUCCUAAUAACAUUACUAUAUUAAAACGUAAGCUAAACUAAAGAUAGGUUAGGCGUAGCUCACUUACAGCGAGUUUUCUCGAAAACCGGGCUUCGCUGGAGCAGCAUUCCCAAGUCGAAAGACCCCUUUUCUCGGGACUCCGAGAGCCUCGGGGCUUCCUUCGGGUGCUAGGGGGUUUUCCUAGACUUUAGACUGCUAAAUGAUCGCGAAGAAUUCAUAACUCCUUCAUACGGACUCCGUUUUUGUCUGUCUUUUUAUAGUUGAAUUCCUAUUAAUGAGAUCUUCAACUCUCAUUUAGGUCGCGUAAGCCAAAAACUGCUCGAACUAAAAUUCGAAUUUCAGGCUGUACACCGCUAAUCCGAAACUUCGAAAAAUCAUAACUUCUUCAUACGAAGUCAGAUUUGGGAGUUCUUUUUAUCGAUGUUCUUAGUUUAACAUACUCUACGCUUUUCCUUUAUAUCAUUAAGGCUAAAACUCGCUCUAUCGUAAAUUCACUAUUUACGCUUCCCGGUGCCGUGUCGGUUUUGCCGUAAAUCUUCGACGGGCCAUAACUUCUUCGUUAUAACUCGGAUUUCGGCGUUCUUUAUAUGUAAGGAAACCUUGAGACAUAUUCUACAACUUUAUGUAGAGAUAUCGGGAUUAUCUCACACUUUAAUUUUGACGUUUAUUUUUGUUCUUUAUUAAUUAUACAUUUAUAAUUAAAUUAUAAGCACAUAAAUACACAUAAUUCACAUAAUACUCAAAUAUUUCAUCUUUAUUACUUCAAAAAGAGUUACAAUAGUUGAACUAGACUAUUACAUUGACAAAAAUGCUUAGCCCUGAAACCUGAGCGUUACAUGGAUUCAACAACAAAUUCCACUAGUACAUUGAAGGCUUGGUGAAAUCAAUUUUGAUGUGUAGGGUGUUGGUAUAUGUAGUUUUGAGUCGAACAUAAAAAUUUUGGAAUCGAACAAGCAAGGCUUCGGGUGGAACUCAUGUUUGAUAGGUAAUGUGAAUUUUACUUACGAAGAAGCCUUGCUUGCUUGAUUUGACAAGUUUAUUCCUCGAACGCUUCUUAUCCUUUGUGGGUUUUAUAACUACUUGCUGAUUAUAAAAGGCGGAGAAUGAAGAAAUGGUAUUGAAAGCUUCUUGGGUAUUCAUUUGCGGAUUUGAAGACAUGUGUUACUUCGAGGGUGAGUUGGUCUUGAUUGCGCGAGCUUUUUUGGAAAAUGAAGCCGGGACAUCCAUGAUGGGUUAUGAGCACUACAUUAAUUCUAUGGUGUACAUGCAAACCCUAAAGCUUUGGAUCUAGUUUGUCUAAUGAACAUGCAAUAAUCAUCCAAAGCUCAUAAACCCUAGAUCUAGCAUAUAAUAAUCGAUAUUAUCAUAAUAAAAGGGUUUAGAUAUUACCUUGAUUGUUAUGUAGUAAUAACAAUCUCAAUUCCUCUUGAUCUUGACCUUUGAAAGCUUAGUGCCAUAAAUUUUGCACCUCUAAUGGAGUCACAAACACCAUGAGCAACAAGAUGACUUAGGAGAAGGAGGAGGAGGCUCCAAAAACGUCUAGGGUUCUUUUAUACUUGUGUGGGUUGCUAGGGUUUAAGGUGAAACCCUAAUUCUCUACAUAGGCCUUAAGCAACCCAUGGAGUUCCCCUAGAAAUCCCUUGGAUGAAAUCCAUAUGGGCUUCCCAUAGAUUUCGUCCAAACCCCUUUCUAUUAGGAAUCCAUAGCCCAAUUGCAACUAUCAUAUAAUUGCAAUAUCAGUCCGCUUUAUUUAAUUAAUCUCUUUUAGCCACAAAAUUAAAUAUUAUUAAUUCUUGGCUAAUAUUAAUUAAACAAUAUGAUUUCUCUUUUAAUAUAUUAUUCAUAUAAUAUAUUUGUUGGAUUAAUGUCUAAGUCCAUAACUAUAUUUGGUAUGUACUUGACCCGACCCGGCAUGGUCCAUUUGGGUUACACUUCACCGGCACAAUUUAUAUGGAUAGUCUUUUGAUAAUAGAAUAUUUAUGGCUUAUAUUAAUAUAUUAUAAGUUCUAAUAUAUUAAUAUAUAAUCAUAUUAUUUAAUUAGUAUUGAUCAAGAAUUAAUUUAUAAUUAAUUAAGUGAUCAAAAUGAACUAAUUAAAUAUGGACUCUUAUAUAUAUAUAUGGAAUGGGCCAAGUUCAUUUAGGUUGGGCUAAGCUUUCAUGGAUAGUCCAUGGAGUGUUUAACCCAUGGAUCAUAUGAAAUGAAAGGUCAUGGGUUUAACCCUAGUCUCCAUACUAUAUAAAGAUGUCCUUGGUUGGUGAAAUUGGCACUAGUGUGGGUACACUAAGANGGGUACACUAAGAAGGGCUAGCCGAUUUCACUAGAGAGAACCAAGUAUCCAUAUUCUCAAAAGUCUUCCAUGGUGUUUUGGUGAUUUGAGAUUCCAUUUUAGGCUUCCACACUAUUGGGGCUAAGCUCUUAAAGCUUGAAGACAUCAAGCUACAUCAAAGGUAUGUCAUCUAACUAGAACUUUGUAGUAUAAGAACUUCAUAAUAUGCUAGUUAGGAUUAAAUCCUUGGAAAGUUCUUAUUUGCAUGUAUAAUAGAGAAAACAUAGAUACAAGGUUUAUAGGGUUGCAUGUACACCAUAGGAAUGUUAGAAUGCUCAAAACCCAACAAUGGUAUCAGAGCCUAGGCUUGUUUUCUUGUUAUACUUGCAAAAGUAGCUGAAAAAUCAAGUUUUGAUGUUGUCUGCCCAACAGACUCGCCGAGUCCAAGGCAAAAUGCAUCCAACUCGCCGAGUUGGUUCGUGCACUCGACGAGUUGGAGCCCCAGACAGCAUAUAUUCGACUUUUUUUUUGGCUAGAAAUGGACUAGGAACAUUACCCUAACAUGUUUUUGGACUUAUAAACAUAUUUUUUGAUGUGGUAAUGUUCAUACUAAUCCAAUUUCAAACACAAUUAUCAAUAGAUUCAUGUUUUGUAUUAGUUUAAGUGUUAUGCUAAUUACAUGAGAAAAGUUUGAUUGAAUUAUCUUGAUCAUAUGAGUUGCUUAGAUUAAUAGAUAAGUUAAUUGAAUAGUUGUUUUCAAUCCAUUUUAAUCUAAGAGAUGAUUCUAAAAUGUGUUUGUGUAACUUGUCCUCAAGUUACAUGAAAGGUCACAUUUAAGUUUCAUAAAACUCAUAAAAGUUGGCAUUGGUUACAAAAAUGAAGAGUGUUGUCUCAUUGAAUGGUUUUAUAACUCCAUAACGUGUCCUCAAGUUAUGGAAGUUCAAGAGUCACUUCAUUAAGUAAUAAAAUGUGUAAACUUAAUAAAUUACAUAAGUUAUAAAAUAAAGAAAAGGUAAUUCUUUUAUUAGUUUAAAGUCUUCCAUAACUUGUCCUCAAGUUAUGGAACUUGAAGAGUUUUUGGAUUAUAACUACUUUAAACACAUAAGUUAUGGAAUAAGAAAAGUUUUGAAAGUUACAAAACUUGCCCUCAAGUUUUGGAAUUUGAAAAGUUUUCUCUUAUGAAUACUUUAAUUCCAAGUUAGCCCUUAGAAUUUUAAAAGUUAAAAUUCAACCCUUAUACUUUAUAAUAUUAUAAGUUAAUAAUAUAUAUAUGUAUAAGAGUAAAGUCAGUCUUACCGCUAGUACGCCUCAUUCACGAAGCCGGUCUAUAAGGUGGGUAUAAGGUUGUUGCCUAUAAAAUGGCAACUUAAUGGGUGUCCACUCUCACCCACCGCUUGCUUGACUGGUGGAGGGUCGUUAGCCGAACGGGUUUGACAGGACUAGAAUUCUCCCUUCAUUAAAAGUAUUAAUGAUAAUACUAAGUAACUAAACUCUUAAUAAUACCCAAUCUUAGUUACUUAGGAAAAAUGUGAAUAAGGUGCUAAUCCAUGAAAUUACACUUUACACUUUGUCUAAGUCGUUAGUGGAGCGUGUGUGGUUAACCGGCACACUAACUUGGACUUAACAAGGUAGGUAAAGGGUGACUUAAUAUUUAUCAUAGUAUCGAUGGAGCGUGUGUGGUUAACCGGCACAUCGAUUGAGGGGUAAUUUAUUAAGGGUACCAAGUGAUUUGCAUGGUUACUUCACACCUUGUUUUGUGAUCCUCGGCAUCCCAGUCACAAAACCUGAAGGGCACACUCGAGAUUGAAACAUGCCUUUGAAAAGUUCAAUGAAUCUCAAAGAUCUAGGAGUUUCAAAACCAAUUAAAACCUAAUAAUACAUUUCGUUUAUCUUGGUGGAAAUUGGUGAAUCGUCAUUCACCUACCUUCAAAUAUUUUAUAGCUUGGAUUACGGCAUACCUCUUCUAAGUUAUAAAAUAGUUUGUUGGGUCCUAGCCUUAAUAUUUCAUAUUGGGUGUCAUAUUAAGGACUUUAAAUCAACUAUCUUGAAUAUCUCCCAAAAGAUGUCUGGUUUAGACACCUAUGAUCUUCCCAAAUCUCUUGAAACAAGGUUUCCUAAUGAAGAUGAUGUCCCAUGGAUAUCAUACUUCUUCACCUCUUCAAAUUAUUCUCCCUAACCCACAAGUUCUUGAAAAGUUUAAGGUCACUCAGGCCCUUUUGGCAAGGCAAGGUCUAGGUGUGGUCACAUCUUGGAGAUGUAGUCACAUAUUGACAAGCCGGGAGAGUUGGGUGUCAAAGUCUUGAGAAAGUUGGUGGUUCAACUACUUUCUAAGUCACAUAGUGAGUUCUUUUGGAACACCUAUGAAAAAGACUAUGACAAGACCCUUAAUGAUCUUAUCUAUUUGUUAAGAUCAACUUCCUAAAACUUUAUGGACAUUGACAAUGAUGACAUUGGAUAUCCAGUAAAGCAUUCUCUUCCCAAUGGAAAGGGAUCGGCUAUAGUCAACUCGGUUGACCAAAUGGUAAAGAGAAAAGCUAAGUCUGUGAUAGUCCUGUGUACCAUUAUCAAAGGGUCCAUAUGUUUGUAUUGCCAAAGAAAGGGCAUUGGUUGCGAAGCUGCCAAAUUUACCUAAGGAUGUUAAAGUCAAUAAGUUUGACUCUACUUCAGGUAAAAUCCACUAUCUAACUCUGUUAAGUUUCUAUUCUGAGAUUCUUGAUACAUGAUGUGACCGGGUCGCAUGGUGAUGGUUUAAGAAUCAAAGGAAAGUGAAGAAACUUAAAGGAAGAAUAUGCUGAAUCUGAUCGCAUAGAUGGAUUUCUAUCGCAUAGUUUGAAAAAUCGGAUUCUUGAGCUACUUCUUAGGAGUUAUGAGAUAUUGCUUAGGAAUAGAUAACAACAAGUUUUCAUAUGGAUUGUAAGGAUAGUUUUUCCGCAAAGUUUUAAAAUAAAAGGAAAUUUUUGAUUUUAUUUAUUUUAAAAUAUCCUUACAAUGGCAUCUGUGGAAAUUUUUGUUGCUUAUAAGAUUCCAUUAGUAGCAAGAGUGGAAGUAUGAAAUUGAUUCUUUCAUUUGUGGUAAUGUCUAAAUUUACCAAAUAAGGAAAGAUUCUCAUCACCCAAGUUUCAAUUGGACCGGAACUUGGAAUCAUGCAAGUUGUAUAGCAUGAUGAAUGAGAACUUUCAAGUUUUGGAAAAUUAAGACUAAUUACUUGUUCACAUGGAUGUGUGAGUCAAGUAAAGGACUUAGGGAUCGAGUACACAUUCUUGUGCACUGAUUAAGUCCACCACUAAAGAUCGAUAAGAAGAAUCAAAUAAGGCAGAAGGAUAAAAGUUUCUCAAAUCUGAAAAGAUGGGAGAGUACUUUAGUAUCAGUUUUGUGAUCAUCUUAAUGAUUAAGAAACCAUAUCAAAAUUAGUUCUCUAAGGAAAUCUUAGUGCAUUCUUAUGACUAAGAAGAGGAACUUGAAUUGUUGAAAUGGUUAAAUCAAGAAGAUGAGUCAUACUUCGUUCCAAUACAAGUCUUAGAGUCAUACUCCAAGAUUGUCAUUUGAGUGACAUGUCUUAAAGAAGGUUUAAAACACUUGUCAAAUGUAAGAGUAAAAGUUUUCUACUCUUGUACAUUUGAAAUUGGUAAGUUGUGAUGUUUUGGAUAAAACAAAGACCAACUUAGGCCAAUUGGGUAAAGUGUUUUUCUUGAUUAGAAUCCGCACUAUCUCUUGGAUGUUUGACAAGGGAGUCUUAUAUGUCAAGAGGACAGUGGGAGUCUUAAAGGUCUUGAAAGUCUCAAGAAAUAAUCAAGAAUAAAACCUGAAGUUCUUCACUAGCACACGACUUGAGGUUUAUAACCUAUCGUGUUGACAUAUCUGUGCCCAUUCCAGUUAAAGUUGGCUUUGCAUAUGAGUUCUUAGAGUUCUCAAUUUGUUGCACAACAACUUGGAAGCAAUGGCAGGCCCUUGAGCUGCCAGGUGGCAAGAAAUUAAGAUUGAGUUCAGUCCAUAUGAGUUUGGAUUUGUCAUUAUCCUUGUCUUGUGACUAUGGUUUUGACAAUUCACAUGGAUAAGAACACAUACACCAUUAAAUCUAAGUGUCAUAAGGUUUCUCUCCGAUUCAUGAAAAUGAUGGUGAGGAAACACUUUCACUAAGUAGAUUUUAGCUAGAUAGCAAUUGUGAUAUUUGCAUUCUCAAAGUCGUUAGUGGAGCGCGUGUGGUUAACCGGCACACUAACCUGGACUUGUGAGAAGUGGCAAAAAGGUCUAAACAUUAUGAUUACGGCAUCCCUCUUCAUAAUUGUUUAGAUACACAAGUGUGCUAUCUAAGGGAAGGUGUAUGAUUUUGAUAAAGUUUUAUCAAAACAAUCUAGUAUCAGAAAUCUGAACUUUGGUAAGAAAGUCAAUGAAGUAUUGAUUUCUAGAAGUCCAGCUGAUUUCUGAGUACAUGUCAAAGCUAGUGGGAGCAUAAGUGUUAUGCUAAUAAUCAUCAUGUUAGUGGGAGCAUGAUAAUUAUGAUAAGUAUUGCAAGUUAGCAAUGUUAAUUAUAGAAAACAAAAGUUUCAAUUGGGAAAAAGUUGUUUUGCUAUAAUUAAGGGAGAGGAAAUUAUACUUCAUCUCAAAUCUAUAAGCUUAGAUCGUGAGGUUUUAAUCAUUUAGUCAAGGAUAUAUAUGAAUUUCAUGUUGGAAUGGCUCAACAUAAGGAAAUUCUGUAUAUGGGUCCAUUAUUUGCGUUCUAAAAUUCGAUUAUGAUUACGGCAUCCCUUUUCAUAAUCUGAAUUAUGAGAACUUGGCAAAUUGAAAUGGAAAUAUUAUAGCAAAAGACUGGUUUAGUCUUUAUGUGAGACAUCAUGAAUCGUGUCCCAUAUGCUUCGGAUAUAGGAUCGAUUACAUGUGCUAUAUUCAUCCGUUCUAAAAUUUUCCAAAUGCCUGGGGCAUUAAGAAGGGAAAAGGUUUAGAACUGGAUAUGACUAAAAGGAUUAAACAAUUGUCGAGGACAAUCUAAGGUUUACCAAAGAUUGGUUGCUCAAGGACAGUUGGAAGUAUAGUGAUAAUUCUGGAAGGACCAUAUUGACAUAAUCUGUAAGGAGGCAACUCUUGUUCAGAAGUGAUAGUCAAAAUGGAAUCUGGAAAUGUUUCAAAGUUAGAAUUUUCAAUCUGUUUAAGAUUAGGAAACUUAAUGCAAGAAGGAUGUUUCCAAGGAGCUGAUCUCCUUUGGAAUACUCUGUAAUGAUUGUUGUCAAGUCUUUCUGACUUUGUGCAUAAUCAUUACAAGAGGAUCAAUGCAUAUAAGUUUAGAAUCUAACAGAUUUCAGUAAAUGGCAUGAAUUUGGAAUUCUUGCAUUUGCAGUAAGGAUUUGGGAGUGUGAAAAGAGAAUCAUUGAAGUUAUGUUCAAUUGAUCUAGUUCACAAAGUAAAGAUCAUAGACAAACAUAGUAUGCAUACUUGGUGUGUGGCAUGACUAGUGUUUAAGAAAACAUAGUGUACAUGCUUGGAGCAUGGGACAACUAUUGUUUUAAAUUCAAGAAUAAAGUUGAUAGCUGAAACAGUAUACAAUGAAUAAUGUGUAAUCAUAUGGUGAUAAAUAAAAGGUGUUUUAUUUAUGUUCAUAAGUUUUGAUACCAUAUUGGAUUCAAUUAUUAUUGUGUUUCACUUUGCAUGUUUUGACUUCCCGAAUAAACUAGGUUAUUCUUCCGGAAUGACUAAGUUAUUCAAACCAUCCACAGUCGGUCAUAUGUUGGAAGUAGAUAUGAAUUAAGACUGUCAUGGGUUGGCUUGUAGAGGUCUAAGGUGUUGGACAAAGGGCUACAACACUCAUGAGUGCUCAUAAGUUCUGAGUAUUGGAUUCAACCCGCGCUCAUUGGAAUCACUUCAUGGAUUUUAUCACGAGUGAUCAUGAGACGAUAAUAUCUUAUAUUCUUCAAACCUAGAGAUAUGAGUUGUUACUAUGAGUUGGUUGUACAUUGAUUGCACGAAAACGCAUUUGGUAACUCGGUGCUAUAAAACGUGCCUUUGUGUAUGAUUCAACAAGUAGUAGAACAAGCCAUAUGAGUCGAAGUUUAUCCAUUCCUUUUACCUUCGGGAUAAAAGCGAUAUCUGUGGGCCCCUCGAUGAUUUGAUGAUGACAAAUGGAAGUGCUCGGCCGGGCCAGGACUGAUUUGAUUUGUUCAAUUAGUCAGUCGUCAUAAAUCGGAAAUCGGGAAACAACAAAUGGACAGAGAGAAUGAUUAUAAUCCAUGUCUCAGUCCAUAUGAUAUCUAGAAUGGAGGAAUAUAUGAUCCCUUAUCUAAUGGACAAGUUCGUUGACAAGAUCAGAGUUCGACAGCGGCUUUAAGAGCUACGAUUGCCAGUUAGGUUUGAAGUCAUACGCAAUAAUAGUUUUAGACUUAUCCAAGUGGGAGACUGUUGGAUUAAUGUCUAAGUCCAUAACUAUAUUUGGUAUGUACUUGACCCGACCCGGCAUGGUCCAUUUGGGUUGCACUUCACCGACACAAUUUAUAUGGAUAAUCUUUUGAGAAUAGUAUGUUUAUGAUUAAUAUUAAUAUAUUAUAAGUUCUAAUAUAUUAAUAUGGAAUCAUAUUAUUUAAUUAGUAUUGAUCAAGAAUUAAUUUAUAAUUAAUUAAGUGAUCAAAAGGAACUAAUUAAAUAUGGACUCUUAUAUAUAUGGAAUGGGCCAAGUUCAUUUAGGUUGGGCUAAGCUUUCAUGGAUAGUCCAUGGAGUGUUUAACCCAUGGAUCCUAGGAAAUGAAAGGUCAUGGGUAUUAGGGUUUAACCCUAAUCCUCCACACUAUAUAAAGAUGUCCUUGGUUGGUGAAAUUGGCACUAGUGUGGUACACUAAGAAGGGCUAGCCAAUUUCACUAGAGAGAACCAAGUAUCCAUAUUCUCUAAAGUCUUCCAAGGUGUUUUGUUGAUUUGUGAUUCCAUUUGAGGCUUCCACACUAUUGGGGCUAAGCUCUUAAAGCUUGAAGACAUCAAGCUACAUCAAAAGGUAUGUCAUCUAACUAGAACUUUGUAGUAUAAGAACUUCAUAAUAUGCUAGUUAGGAUUAAAACCUUGGAAAGUUCUUAUUUGCAUGUAUAAUAGAGAAAACAUAGAUCCAAGGUUUAUAGGGUUGCAUGUACACCAUAGGAGUGUUAGAAUGCUCAAAACCCAACAAUAUUAAUAAAUCAUAAUUAAUCCUUUUUCUCCUUAGUUCAUCAUAUCAGUUGCUAUGGUGAAGGCAACCCAAAAGGACCAUGCUCACAAUCGGGUCAAGUACAUACCAAAAUAGUUAUGGGCUUAAACACAUAAUCCAACAGUAUCCCACUUGGAUAAGUCUAAUAACUAUAUUGCGUAUGACUUCGGAACUUGAUCAGUAAUCGUGGCUUUCGAAAGCCGUUGUCGAACUCUGAUCUUAUCAUAAACAUGUCCUUUAGAUAAGGGAUCAUAUAUUCCUCCAUUCUAGAUAUUGUAUGAACUGAGACAUGGAUUUUAAUUAUACUCUCUCUUCAUCUGUUGUUUCCCGAUUUCCGAUUUAUGACGACUGACAACAGACUACAAUUGAACACAUCAACUCAGUCCCGGCUUGGCCAAGCGCUUAAGGUGUCAUCACUAAAUCAUCGAGGGCCCACAUAUAUUGGUUUUAUCCUACUUUGGGUAAAAGUAAUGGAUAAACUUCGACUCAAAUGCUCGCUUGUACCUACUCAUCGAAUCACACACAAGAAUAUGUUUUGUAACACUAAGUUACUGGUGGGUUUACAUAUUAUCAAUGUGCAACCGACUUACAGAAUACAACUCACACGUCUCGGUUUCAAGAAUACAAGAUAUUAUCUUCUCACCAAUCACUCGUGAUAAAAUCUAUGAAGCGAUCCAAUUGAGCACUCGUUUAAUCCAAUGCUCAAAUCUUAUUCCUAAGCACUCAUGAACGUUGCAUCAAACUUUUUCUAUGUCUAAUACACUUUAGACAAUAUACAAACCAAUUCAUGACAAUCUUCUUUCAUACCUAGCCCUAAUGUAUGAGCGACUGUGGAACGUUCGAAUAAUCUUAUUAUUCAGGAAGUCAAAACAUGCAAAGUGAAACACAAGAAUAAUCGAAUCCAAUAUGGCCCCAAACUUUUGAGUAGAAAUAAAAGUCUUUUUAUUUAGUCACCAUAUUGAUUACACAUUAUUCAUUCUAUAAUGUUCUGGAUAAUCAACUUAUUACUUGAAUUAUAACUGUAGUUGUCCUGUGCACCAAGCAUGCACACUCUGUUUACCUAUGGUCCAUACUUUGUGAAAUAGAUCAAUUGAAAACAUUUCCAAUGAUGCUCAUUUCACAAUCCCUAUUCCUUAUCGUUAGUGUAAGAACAAAAUUCUCGCCACUACUAGAAUAUGUUAGAUUUUAACAUUUUAUGCAACGAUCCUAUCGUAAUGCCACAACACCAAAGCCACGAAGACUUUGCCAAUGAUAUUACAAAGAACUCUAUUGGAGAUUAUUAUAAGACAAUUCCAUAGAUGUGAAAUCUCACAUUCAAAUUACAUUCCUUUGAACAUCCUUCCUGCACAAAAGUUUCUAAUCUCGACAUAAAUUCUUAAUGUCCAACUCCCAAUAUGGAAACAUUUCCAUAUUUUCCAUAUGACAACUUAUUGUGAAUAGAGUCUUAUCUAUUCAUAAUAAUGUCGAUAUUGUCCAUUCAUUACUAUACUUCCAACUACUCACAAGCGACCAAUCCUCAACAAAUUUUCGUCAAACCGGUUCUAGUCCCCUUUCCCUGUUAUUGCCCUAGGCAUUUGGAAAAUUUUAGAACGGUCGAAUAUUCCAACAUAUGCAAUCGAUCCUAUACCCGAAGCGUAUGGGACAUGAUUCAUAAUGGAAACAUGAUACUUUACCAGUUCCUUGCUAUAAUAUUGCCAUAUAUAGAAUCCUUUUAAGUUGAAUCUUUUCAACAUAACAUCCAUAUAUGUCUUUUGACUAAAUUUCUCGAUCUAAGCCUUUAGAUUUGAAAUGAAGCAUAAUAUCCUCUCCCUUAAUUAUAGAAAAACACCUAUUCAACCUUUGCAAAUUGAAACUUUGUUUUCUAUAAUUAAUAUUGCUAACUUGCAACACUUAAAAUAAUAACCAUGCUCCAACUAACAUGAUAAUUAUCUCCAUACCAGCAUAACAUUUAUGCUCCCACUAGCUUUUACACAUAUUCAAAAAACAUUUGGACUUCUAGAAAGCAAUACUUAUUGACUUCCAAAGUUUAUAUUUCUAAUACGAGAUGCUUCGAUAAACCUUUGUCAAGCUUCUCAAGCUCAUACGCCUUUCCCUAGAAAGCUCAUAUGUGUGUCUAAACAAUUUCAUCACUUAUAGAAAUAAGUCUAAAUGUUAAACUAAUUGCCAAAUCUCACAAUUCGAACUAUGAAGAGGGAUGCUGUAAUCAUAAUCGAAUUUGAGAAUGCAAUUUACACAACAUCUAACUCCUUAAAAUUUUCUUAGUGAAAGCGAUUCCUCACAAUCAUUUUCAUGAAGGAGAGAAACCUUAUGACACUUAGAUUUUGAUGGUGUAUGUGCUCCUAUCCAUGUGAAUUUGUAAUAACCAUAAUCAUAAGAUAAUGUUUGUGUCAAAUCCAUACUCUUAUGGAAAGAACUUGUUCAUUAUUAAUUUCUUUCCAUCAAGGGUCCCACCAUGGGUUCCAAGUUAUUGAGCAGCUCACCCCUACCUAUCAAUGUACUUUCCAUUAAUCAGGGUGCCUUGCCCCUAUGCAACCCAUUGAGAACUCAUAGAACUCACAUGCAUAGUUGACCAAACUGGAAUGGCACAUAAACAAGAAUAUGUCAACACGAUAGGUUACAAAACUCAAGUCCUGUGCUAGUGAUUAAUAAUAGGUUUAAUCUUGAUUUGUUCUUGAACCUUUUGAAGAUCAUUUAGACUCCCACUGACCUCUUGACAUAUAAGAUUCUCUUGUCAAGAAACAUUUCCUGACAAACAAACAUUAAAGAGUUAGUGCGGAUUCUUAUCAAGACAAACCACUACACACAAUUGGUCUUAGUUAGUCUUUGUCUUAUCCAAGACAUCACAACUUACCAAUUUCAAACGUGUAAGAGUAAGAAAAACAAUUUUCUACUCUACAUUUGAUGAGUGUGUUAAAACUUCUUAAGAUGUGUCACUCAUGUCACAAUCUUGGAGUAUGACUCUAAGACUUGAUUUAGGGCGAAAUAUGAGUAAUCCUUUUUGAUUUAACCAUUUCAACAAAUUUUGAUUCCUCUUCUUGGCCAUACUAGUGCACUUUGGUGUCUUUAGAGGAUCAAUUAUGAUAUUGUUUCAUAAUCAACAAGACGAUCAUAAAACAUGAUACUAAAGUACUCUCCCAUCUCUUCAGACUGGAGAAACUUUUAUCUUUCUGCCUAUUUGAUUCUUCUUAUUCGUUCUAUCAUUCAUUGAAACUUUUCAAUGAUUUAGAAUUAUACUUACUCUAGUAAGCAUAACCACAUUUACUAGACUUUUAGUAAAUCAUAAUCUUAUUGUUCUUUGUGGUGGACUUGACUAGUGCACAACAUUGUGUACCACUUCUCCUAGUCCUUCACUUGACUCUUUGUCAAGGAACAAUUCUUAAUUUUCCAAUUAUGAAGAUUCUCAUUCAUCAUACAAUACAAGUUGUAUGAAUCCAAGUUUCUGUCCAAUUGAAACUCGGGCGACAAGAAUCUUUCCUUAUUUGGUAAAUUCUCGACACUACCACAAAUAACAUAACUAAGAAUCAAAUCCAUUUCAACAUUGCUAAAAUAGAAAUAAACAUCAAUUUUCAUACAUGCCAAUGCAAGGAAAUAUAAAUAAGACAAAAAACCAAAAUUUAUUUUAUUUAUAAAAGGUGCGGAAAAACUUGUCCUUACAAUGCAAUUCAAAUGAAAACUAUGCUAUUACAUAUUCCUAAGCAAUCUAUCAUAACUCUGAGCAGCAGUUAAAAAUCUGAUCAUCGAAUCAUGCGAUCGAGAUACAUAUCUUUGCGAUCAGACUUAGCACACUUCUUCCUUUAAGCUUCCUUUCUUCUCUUCAAUCCUACAAAACACCAAAUGUAAUGUUGUCAAAUCAUGUAUUUAGAAUCUCCAAAUAGGAACUUAAUAGAGUUAGAUGGUAGAUUCUACCUGAAGUAGAGUCAUACAUCUUGACUAUCCCAUCUCUUAGAUCUCUCAUGUAGUCAGGACAACUUCAUAACCAAUGCCCCCUCCUUUAGUAGUAGAAACAUAUGGAUUCUUCUGUAAUUCUACACAAGAUCAUCUCAGACUCAGCCUUUCUUUCGCGUAGAGAAAACUUUUAUGGACUUCUAAUGUUAUCAUUGCCCAUAGAAGGUUGGGAUAUUGAUUUACGAGACAAAUUUGCUCGGCCAGUGUGUAUAAUCAUUUCUGCUUUAGCAGCAAUAAGCAAAUAAGUCAAAUCAAUGAAGGUCAUGUCGUGUUCCAUCAUAUAGUACUCUCCAAUGAACUUACUAUAUGAUUCGGGAAGUGACUGAAGAACCAAUUCAAUAGCCAAUUUGCUUGAGACAUCGACACCUAACAUUCACAAUCUAUCAAUAUGCAACUUCAUAUCCAAGACAUGAGCACAUAUAAAUUUUCCAUCUUCGUGUUUGUUUGCCAACAUGGCUUGAGUGACAUUGAACUUUUCAAGUCAUCGAAUACGUAGGCCAGGGAGAAUAAUUGGAGGAGGUGGAGGAAGUGCAGCAUGAUUUCCAUUUCCAUAAUCCAAUCAUGGAACAUCAUCUUCAAGCGGAAAACUUUUUCCAACUGAUUCAGGAAGACCAUAGUUGAUAGAUUUUGAAAUCUACAAAACGGGAGAAAUUCAAGUUAGUUGAUUGGAAUCCUUGGUAUAACACCCAAAUGAAAUAUCAAUGCUAGGACCCAAUACAAUAUUCUACAAUUUUGAAGAGGGAUGCCGUAAUCCAAAUUGAAGAAUAUUUGAAGGUAGGUAAAUGACGAUUUACCAACUUCCACCAUGAAAAAUGAAAUUUGAAAAUUAAGUUCUAAAUGAAUUGAAACUCCUAGAUCUUUUGAUAUUCAUUAAACUUUUCAAUGUCAUCUUUAAAUCUCGAGUGUCCUUUCGUUUGUUACUGGGAUGCCGAGUAUCACAAACAAGUUGUGGAUAACCAUGGAAAUAUACAUGGUACCCCCAAUGUUGCAGUCACCUAAUCGACGUGCCGAUUAACCACACAAACUCCAUCGAUCUAUGAUAAACAUCAAGUCACCCUUUGACACCUUUGCUUAGAGCCCAAUUAGUGUGUCGGUUAACCACACACGGUCCACUAACGUCUUAGCAAGGGUACAAAGUGUAAUUUCAUGGAAUAGCACCAACUCCACAUUUUUCCUAAAGUAACUAAGAUUUGGGAAUUUAUAAAAGUGUUUAGUUACUUUGUAUUCAAUAUAAUUAUAAUGGAAGGUUUUGUCCUAUCCUACCCGUUCGGCUAAUGACCCUCCACUAGUCAAGAGUUCGAUGGGUAAGAGUACAUACCCUAUGUCGGUCAUUUUACACGCUGCUUCCUUAAACACCCCUUAAAGACCAGCUUCGUGAAUGAGGCCUACUAACGGUAAGAACGACUCUUUACUCAUACAUAUAUAAUAUUAUAAUUUUAAUUGGGGGGAAGGAGCCCGACAGGGUCCCCCCACUAACUUGGUUUAUAUAGUAUAAUGAUGUAUUUUACACUUUUAAAAUACUAGGUGGUUUAAUUUAAUAAAUUAUAACUUUUAAUUUAAUUAAAUAUAGACCAUAUCAUUAUGGAUUUAUUAACUCUCUUUUAAUUAUACAUUUAACAAACUUAAUUAAACCAUAAGAGUGUAAUUUGAACUUUUAAAAAACUAGGGUUUUAGAAUUUAACAUUUAGAAAUUAGAACUUUUAAUAAAAAUUUAAAUUCCAAAACAUUAGGGCAAGUUUUAAAACUUUUCAAAACCAUAUAUAUAUCAAAUUACAUAUACUUUUAAUUAAUCAAAUAAUUAGUAAUUAUCUAUAUUUGACCUAAUUCAAUUUCAAGGCAGGAUAAUGCACAUCAAAUAAUACAAAUAAUUAAAGUUUAUCAUACAAGGCAACAAAUAUCUUAUUAAAUAACAAUUAUCUUCUAUUUGGGUUAGGAUAAUAAAUACCAAACAUAAAAAAACGAAUCUUAAGUGUUAAAAAUGUUUUUGAUAACAUUCCCAAGCCAAAUAAAAAAAAUCCCGAAGUUUCCUCUGUCUCACCCUUGGACUCACCGAUUCAGGGACUGGACUCGUCGAGUCAGGCUGACUUGCCGAGUUCAUCAACUGACUCACCGAGUCAAUCAGGCAUAGGACCAAAAACUUCGACAUUUAGAAAAUGAAUGAUUAUACAAGCAUCAAAAACAUCAAACAAACAACCUAGGCUAUGAUACAACUGAUCGGUUAUGAGCACUACAUCAAUCGUAUGGUGUACAUUCAAACCCUAAAGCUUUGGAUCUAGUUUGUCUAAUGAACAUGAAAUAAUCAUCCAAAGCUCAUAAAACAUAGAUCUAGCAUAUAAUAUUCGAUAUUAUCAUAAUAAAAGGGUUUAGAUAUUACCUUGAUUGUUAUGUAGUAAUAACAAUCACAAUUCCUCUUAAUCUUAACCUUUGAAAUCUUAGUGCCUCAAAUGUUGCACCUCUAAUGGAGUCACAAACACCAUGAGCAACCAGAUGACUUAGGAGAAGGAGGAGGAGGCUCCAAAAACGUCUAGGGUUCUCUUAGAAGUCCUAGCCACGUUUUUGGGAGCCUUAGGGGUCAUUUUAUACUUGUGUGGGCUGCUAGGGCUUAAGGUGAAACCCUAAUUCUCUUCUUAGGCCUUAAGCAACCCGUGGAGUUCCCCUAGAAAGCCCUUGGAUGAAUUCCGUAUGGGCUUCCCAUAGAUUUCGUCCAAACCCAUUUCCAUUAGGAAUCCAUAGCCCAAUUGCCUCUAUCAUAUAAUUGCAAUAUCACUCCCCUUUAUUUAAUUAAUCUCUUUUAGCCACAAAAUUAAUUGUUAUUAAUUUUUGACUAAUAUUAAUUAAACAAUAUGAUUUCUCUUUUAAUAUAUUCUUCAUAUAAUAUAUUAAUAAAUCAUAAUUAAUCCUUUUUCUCCUUAGUUCAUCCUAUCAGUUGCUAUGAUGAAGGAAACCCUAGAGGACCAUGCUCACAAUCGAGUCAAGUACAUACAAAAUAGUUAUGGGCUUAGACAGCUAAUCCAACAAUCCAAUCCUAACUUUAAGGGGGAGAAUGUUAGGUGCAAAGUUCUACUUGGUUGUGGGGUGUAGGUUUACCCUCUUUUAGUGUGUAAUGAGUUGUCUUUCCUAUAAAUAGGAAGUGAGUGACACUCAUUUAUGAAAUAAACUUUGGAGAGAUUAAAUUAGUUAGAGCAUUUUUAGAUUACCCACUUUGUAAUAGUCACUUGAUCUAAUGAUUACUUAACUGGGUUAUUUACUCCUCAUGUUCUUGAUUUUUGUAUGCUUUAUUAUAUUUUUUCAAUUCCCCGAAUGUGAUCCUAAUUAGGAUCACUACACAUCUAGCAACUACCGAGCCACCAAUAGUAUUUCCAUACUUCUCAAACACCCGACGAUUCCAAGCAACUAACGACCUAACACACAAGUCUCCAUGACACAACUAUCAACCCAUUCUUACAAAAUAAAACCUAAAAUGGUUCAUGCCAUGUCGUGAUACCAUAUAAACAUUAGAAUGGGAAGCUCACGGUUCCUCACCGUUCAAGCCAUCAUCAAAUCCACGGGCAUGAAGACUCCCAACUAGCACAGAGUGUGCCUAUAGGCUCAAAACGAUCAUGCUAUUGACCUGAAGGAACCCAUUUAAUAUCCCACUCAACCGUUACAAAACUAACAAGAUCCAUAACACUUUAUAACACACAACCCUUCCUCAGUCUAGGUUGCUACCAACACAUUAUCGGAAGGAAACAUGGUCGUAUGCAACCAUAAUGUAAUAUAGAUAGUUAAACGCUUGGUACAACUUGAAAAAACACCAUUUCACACUCCCUAUACACGUCUUCCGAUAAUAUUUGUUGAUCUGCCAACAUUUCACACUCCCUAGGAGAAAAAACAAUGCCCCUCACGCCACCUGUGUUCCUUCUUUAUUAUAACCUUACCCAAAGGGUGAAGUCCCAGUGGAUCGAACGAAAUGAAAAACCUCAAACGUUAAUAGAAAAAUUCUCCUAAUAACCAAAACAAUAUCCCCGCACCUUAAAUGAAGCGGAACAGAUCCCAACAAUGCACGAAUAGACCAAUAGAAUUUCCAAAUUUGGAGAAGAAUUCCAAAAUUAUCUAGAAAAUGUUGCCAACACCUUGGUCAAAUUAAUCUAAAUAGCAACCCUUCUGACGCGCCAUGUCAAAACUGGACUCUAUGUAGGCCACGGUCACACCUUAAAAGCUGAACAAAGUCGCUCCGACAUCAAAACUACCAAUAACCAAACACAGAUGCAAACCCAAGCCUACUAGGAACAACAAUUCCAUGACCAAAAAGUUGAAAGUACACAUAUGUAGAGACCAUGAUAUACACCUUACAAAAAUUGAUGAAGGGAUCAACUGUACCUUCAAAUCAUACAACAUGAAGCCUUUGUAUAACCUUAACUAUCAAUGAUGAAUAAGAUAACCAAGAAUAAAAAAUUGUUCAAAAACAAAACCCCAUGAUCCCACACAUGCUGAACAAAGCCCACGCGAAAAAUACACUUAUCAAACCCUGAAGUCGAUCGACAUAUCAAUGACUUCCCAUUCUCUCCUAUAAAUAACUGAUGCACAACUUGCACGUCUAAAAUGCUCCCUUAUCAAGAUUCCUAGCGGUUCCUAAGGGAACUACUUUCCACAAUGAGUUCCUUGUGUAACAGCUUUUCGAUGUGAAUACAUCACAUCUCUCCUUAAAGACAUAAACCUAAUAGCAACUUGAUAUGUGCUCCCGAUUUCAACAAUCCUUGAAUUCCCCUUUACCAUGAAGGACUCCCACAGAUCCUUGCGCAUCGCAAUAAAAAAACAUCCCAACCAUGAGGACUUUGAGGCUAGCCUACUUUCCUUCCCAUAUGCAACAAUAUACCUAUAAUACAUGCAUUAAAUAAAGUACACCAGAAAAAUUAUUUUUUUUAAAAACAAAAGGAGUGUACAUUACAUUAACCUAAAAUACUAUACGACACAGGGACCGUAAACGCCAUAUGAACCGAAAACUCACCAACCAUAAACUCUAACCUAACCGAAAACAUUAACAAAAACUAUACGAAUGAAUGCCUAGCCCAAACCAACAAAUCAUGAUGUUACAAUCUCCCCCUUGGUUUGAGGCUAGCAUAAGCUCAAUCUUUAUCAAUGAUCAGCACGUCGGAUCCUCCCAUAGCCCCCAACCACAUCUUCUUGUUUAUCAUCUUAGCGAUCAGACUUGUGAACUCUUUAGCGGCGGACUCGAAAAUUUCAUUCUUGACCACUAUUUGAUGUUGAUCCAGAGUGUGAAUGUCACAUUCACCAAACUGUAGUAGAUCCUUCACCUCAACAACACAAAAGACACUAGUUAGGAAUUUGAUUACAGUAGUGACUGUGGCCUCGUCGAAUACCCAAUACUCCAUAUCGUGAAGAGAUCCAUCUCAGAAAUGUUGAAGAAUGGGAAUUUCAUUCAUUUUUUUUGUAGGAGGCCACAUCAUAGUUCUCAUGGCCUUGUUGUUUUGUGGGUCAAGAGCAUCUCUAGCUUUCUUCACAAAGGAUUCCGCUGUCUUCAUUCCAUCAAACUUCCUCUUUACUUGAUUCUCUAAGAAGAGUUUGAGUUCACUCCCUCGAGGAUCAUUUGAUGGAUUGUAGAAGGGAGCAUUGGCAAGUUCAGUAAGAUCAACUCUUUUCGAAGAGCUAAAAUCAUUCUUGUGCUUAUAGUGUUCCAUGUUUCCGCUCUUCCUUUUAACCCCCCGAAUAUUUAGUUUAUCCUGAAAUCCCCACAUCAGUACCAUAUUUCAUCAUCUUUUGUCCAAGAGUUUGAAUGUCACCUUUUUUUCGAUUACCUUCUUUUCAAUACCAUGUUUCAUCGUCUUGCUAAGUAGAUGGUUGAAACGAUCGAAUGUCUGAAUGAGUUUCUCAUCAGGUUUUUGUACAAAAGCACUGAACUCAGAGAUCAAAAGGGUUUAGAUGGAGUGCUCUAGAUCCUCAUCAGUUGAAUAUAAUUCUUUCAACCUAUCCCAUAUUUCAUUAGCUGUAGUGUAUGAUCUCACUAAACGGAAAGUAUCGGCUUGCAAAGCAAAUCUGAUCAUUCUCAUGGCUUUAACAUUGCAUAGCACCUUGUCCUUUUCAUCUUGAGGGAUCUUCUCUACGUCCACCAAGAGUUGGUUAUACUCCUUUUGAGAUUUGAUCGUUCUGUUCAUUCCAGAGUGAACAAACAGAUCCAGUGUUAUUGCUUCCCAGAUUAGAUAGCCAUUGUCUUCAGAUCCAAUGACGUAGUCUUCAAAGUGAUGUGCCCAUACUUCGUAAUCUUGAGUACAGAGAAUGGGAAAUCUCGUAGUCGAUCCUAUAUUGUUGGAGAUGUUGAUUAGAUUAGCUUGAGAAUCGUCGUGAGACAUGAUGAAAAACUUCUUAUUUUAAUCUUCUUGAAUCAGAAUUGUAAAGAUGAGAAUAGGGUUUAACUGAACACUAAAAUACUCCGUCGACAGGAAGAAGACGACUUCUAAAUAUUCGAUAGAAGCGGAAACCUUAACGGAUUCUUCAAACAGAAGAGAUGUGUAUGUAUUACACAGUCUCCUGCUCUGAUACCAAUUGAUGAGAAUAUUGAGCUAUUAGAUUGAUAGAUUCAAAACAAAUAAGAAGUAAUUAAGAGCACAAGAAUGAGAAAAAUGAUGUCGAAUGAUUAAUCUCUCACACCUCAGAAGAGCUCGAUGAAGAAGUUCGACUAUAGAGGUGUGUAUAGUGUUACAAUGCAAAAGUAAUUAAUGAGAUCUCCAUCUUAACGCUAUACAUGCAUGAAUAAUAUAUAGUCUAACGCUAAGAAUAAAUAAUGGAUGGACAUGCCUAAUCCGGAUAAAUAAAACAGAAACACUUAAGCCAAAUAAGACGCAACUCAAAUACCUAACACAUUACCUGAAGCAUCGUUUAAUAAAAUACUACAAGGCUUAGAAAUGAUGGAGGCUGAAUCAGUUCCAAAAUCAAACUCAUUUCAUUAAGUAUAACUUUCUCUUUUGCUUUCUUAAAAUUUUCUAACAACCAAAAUGAACUGAACGAUCGGUCUAUUUCGGCGCCUGAUUUUUUGGGAACCUAAAUUAACCGAAGGAUCGGUGUAUGUCACCUCUUGUAAUUUUUUAAAGCGAGCAAUUGUUUCAUCUUAUGGAUUGGAACUUACAUAUCCUUUGUAUACAAUGUAUAUAUUUUGUUUACUCUACUUUAUGUCUUUAGUUAAUUUCCAAAAUAAUUUUUUUUUCAGAAUUUCUAAAAUCAACAAAAAUAUUUUCUGUUUACUUAGUUAAAUUAUUUUUUUGAAUAAGUUGAAAAUUCAAAAAAUAUUAUAUCUCAGUAUCACGGAUGCAUUUGUGUGAUAGAGUUGGGGCAUGUAUAACAUUCUUUAUCUAUGUACUAGCUAAGUGUCCCUAGAAGCAUGCUGCUGCAUGUCAACCGAAGCCUCCAAGACUUUGAGUGAAGCCUUACUGAUUCGAUAUAUACAAAUCGUUUCUUCCCAAUUAGGCUGAUAAAAUCACUCAAGUCAUGAGCUACCUUACUCUUCUCACAUUGAUUUAAGAGUUAUCUGCUUGGUUUGUCAUUAAUAGUAGAGGUACUUUCGGUUCUUUAACUACCUAUUAUUAUUUCUCCAUCCCAUUUCGGUUCAUAAUCAUAACCCUUGAGACUCUCAGCAUUUACCACUGAGGUUUAUGGUUACACAACAUCCAUGUUGAUGAUCUUAGUUUCGUUUCACCACGUGCUAAGUGAGGCCCAAUAUCCAAUGCCUUUAACGAAUUGACGGUCAACAGUCCAAAGUUCUAGUUUUUCACCCAUGAAUUAAUGAAAACACUUUGACAGUUUACACCUUGAAAUCUUUUUAUUUUUGUGUGAUCUUUAUGAAUUUGUCUAACACCAAGACUUUUCUUCUCAAAAGAUCAAUUUUUUUUUAAAGAUUUCAACAAACAUAUCACCAAGUCACUGAAUAUAUUGUCUAACCUACUUGUUUAAUAGGCUACACUGGUCUCUCAAGUACUUUAUCCAACUUUCGGUCUUAUGUCAAGUACUGAAGUUGGUUGAAGCUAAGCCGCCCCUUAUAGCUUAAAUUUGAAAAGAUGCCUUUCAAUGUUUCUUAAUAAACAUUUGAUCAUAUUUCAACGGGAAACCACACAGACACUUCUAAGUCUCUCUUGAAUUCGAAGGAAGCGGUUCAUGCCCGGGAUCCAUAGUUUCGUGUCUAAAUAGACAUCACUUAAAUCCCACAAAUAAUUUGUUUUAUUUCUUUUCUAUUGGCAUGCUCUUGCAUGGAGAUCUUUAUGAUUUUCCUAAUUCUUUUUCGUGGUACUAAUGGCAAUUUUUCACAAUUGAUGCUUCGGUUGUAAUUGCUAUGGUGGUACACUAUGUUAAGGCGCGAACAUUUCCAGCCUUAUACGAAGCGAAAGGUUUUAUCAGAGUUUAAAAACGAAUUUGAAACGGUUUCGAAGUUGGAAAGGAGGUAACAAGAUAAGAUUUCAAACCGAGUUAUUGGAUAAGAUUUGGAAGGGGCGCGUGAAUUUGAAACGGUUCCUAACAUCACACCUGAUGACGUCUUCCUAGGGAAACACAACUGUGAAGUUGCGCUUUUUCAGGCACCAAUUGAGAAGAUCGUAUCAUCAUUACUACAGAUUCUUUCUCUCUCCUGGGAAUGGUAUAUAAGGUUUUCUCACACCUCUUAUACCACUUUACACUUUACAAACUCUCUGUAGCAAGCAAGGUUAUCAGGGAAUACAAAAAGCUUCCUUCUUCAGGAUCGAGACAACUCACUCUUGAGAUGCAGAAAUCCCUUGAUGAAGCUGACAAGCCAGCUAAACGUGGCAAGAAGCCUGAUCAAAAGAAGCAGGAGAAAGAAGGUGAAUCCUCCAAAGUCUAUACGCCCAACAAACGUAAGACCGAACAAGCAGCUCCUUCUACACCAAAGAAGCGAAAGGUGAAGAAGAUGGAAGGGAAACCGAAGGUAGCAUCGCCUAGUGAUUCAGAUUAUGUUCCUUCCGAUCACGAUCAAGAAAAAUCAGCCAAAGGUGAAGAUGCUCACCUUGAAGGAUAACCGAGAGGAGCUACACCUCCACGUUCUCCAUCUCCUGAGGUACAACUUAAUGACUCCAUUCCAACUCCUCCUCCUUGUCCAUCUCAUACUACAAUAUCCCUUUCCAUUGCACCACUUCCACCACCAACUUCUUCUCAACCUAUCUCCACUACACCUCUCCCUCCACCAAUCUUCACUCAAGUAACUUCAAUAACAACCACCACACCUGAAUCUUUGGUUUGUGUCAACAUAUCUAAUACGAAGGCACCUCCCUCAGAAACCAAAACCCCAAUCACUUCCAAACCUAUUUCCCCAUCUCCUUCGUCAGAUUCUUUCCCAGUUUUUGGUGGAGAAGAACUUGAAUUUGAAUCUUAUUACUUCAGCCCUUAUAGAGUUGAGAGUGACGAUGAUGAUGAUGCUCCUCUUACAAAACGACACUUAAAUGAUUUAAAUGAAAAUCUUGACAAGUUGUUCGCUUUAUCUUCCUUUUCCUCUACCUCUGGUUACUCGGAUACUAUUGUUCGAGCCCUCACAGAAACAACUCUCAAACAACAUGAUGAGUCUAUCCAGAAGGCAACCCAGGCUGUGGAUGCUUCCACUUUGUCUUGUCGAAAAGCAUCAGAAGAUGUAGCCACAUUCAUUUCAGAUGCCAAGAUUCUUCUAGAUUCUCCUAAAGAAGCUGCAAAGUCUAACGCCAACAAGGUUAACACUGCCAUUGAGUCGCUUUCCAAAUCCCUUCGGGCUGAGAAAGAUAAACUUGAUUUGGUAAGAACUACUCUUCAAGCCGAUUAAACCUCUCUUUUUUUCAAUAAUCACCACUCGCCUUGACAAACUUCAAGCUGACCUUGCCAAGGAGAAUAAAAUUAUGGAUGAACUUGCUCACAAAACUACUUUGCUUGAAGUUCAGUCUGUCAAGCUAACCUAGGAAAAUAAGGAGAUUGAUUCUCUAAAGUCGAAGCUAGUUGUCAUCAAAAGUUGUGUCUUUGAUGUCUUCACCAUUCUCUCCAAUCUGGUCAAUGCACAUGAUUCGGUUCUAACUCUCUCAGUUUAAAACCACUUAACUGAGAAGUUACUUCCUUCCCUCGAAAUCCUGAGCCAAAUUGAGGGUGUUACAGAGCUGUUUGUUACUCCGCAACAAGGGGAGAAGAUCUGCAUAACCCUCCCAAAAAAUCUUCUACUGUUCUAAAUGUCACCGCUAAAUCGAAGGGUAAUGAAGCUUCGGGUCCUAGUGUCAAGGACAAAGCAAAUGGUAUUAUGGGUCAGAGUACUGAAGAAGAGGAAACCGAAGAAGAAAGGGAGAAAAGAGAGAAAGAUGCUCAUGACACCUUGGUUUGUAGACAAGCUCUCUUUCCAGUGUGGUCAUUGGACAAACUGAUGAAGGAAGCGAUUGAGUACCCUAGGAAUCAUUGGCUUGAACCAGCCGUUUCUUUUGACUGUGAGAAUACAAGGGAUUCUUAAUUUUACAUGCCUAUCACUCGAAGAGCCUUUUUGUUUCAUUGUUUCGAUUCAAUUGCCCGCGUUCUUUCUCCUGAUUUGAAGGUUGUGUUAGAUAAGGUGUCUAAGUCCAUAAUUAUUUCUGGUAUGUACUUGACCCGGUUUUGCAUGGUCCAUUUGGGUUGCAUGGCAUCAUGAAUUUGGAUAGACUAAAAUGAGAGAAAUAACACUUAAGGUUUAUUAAUAUAUUAUAAGUUCUAAUAUAUUAAUAGUAUUAUUUAAUUAGUAUUGAUCAAUAAUUAAUUUGGAAUUAAUUAAGGGAUCAAAAGAAGACUAAUUACAUAUAUGGGUUGAUUGUGUAAAUCACUCAUACUUGUAUUGUAACAAUAUAAAUUUUCAAAACAAUUUUUCAUUUUUAAAUCAUAUUUUUAAUCAUCAAAAACAAUCUCCAAACAAACUGUAUCCAAUGUCAUCAUAACAAACAAAUCCCAGAGUCUCAAAACAUAAUCUCUAUGAGUGUGUACGGAUCAUGUCGGCGCCUUCCCACGAUCCUCGCUAGUACCUGAAACACAUAACACAACAACUGUAAGCAUAAAUACUUAGUGAGUUCCCUAAACUACCACAUGCAACACACACACCUUUCCAAGCCAUAACUCUGUGGGACCUUUUGGUCCAAGUUUCUCAGGGGACUUCCGUCUCGAAUCCCGGUAGACCUUCCUGUCCUACCCGUAUCGAACUUCCGCUCCGUAACCUCCUGACCUUCCGGUCAAUGUCAUCUUGCCCUUCCGAUCCAUAUCAUCUUGACCUCCCGGUCCUUAUCGUACAUAACAUACAUAACACAUACAUAUCACAGAACCGCAUAUAGCACCUACAUCGCAUAGCAUACAAGACCUUCCGGUCACACAUAGGUACCCUUCCAGAUACAGUAUAGUGAGAAUACUCGCCUCAAUGAAGUCGGAUAAACUCUCGUGCUCAACAUUCCGACCUAGCCUCCUCCUAUUAUUUGAAUAACAUUUCCGGUUAAUACUCUCUCAUAGUCUCAUCUCUAAAGAUUGGGUAGAAGGCCAUUCUACCCCUGCCUGAACUCUCUUGAAUAAGCCUUGACAAGAACCCUAAGGUCAACAAAAGUCAAUGGUCAAAAUUUGACCCGACUCGUCGAGUGCACAUGGGAGACUCAGCGAGUCCAUGCGGGUUAUCUGAGUCCUUCUAGCCUCUCAUGGCACGUCGAGUCAUCCCUCCACUCGACGAGUUCCUCCUGUCACGAAUCGCGGUGCAACCCUGACUCGACUCGUCGAGUCCACUUAUGAACUCGGAGAGUUGCUUCCAUGAUCAUACUCAAAUGACCUUCUAAGGUCAGGUUUGCUUCCCUAAUCUAUAGAUCUGACCUUCCAAAGCAUGAUAAUCAUGUAAAGGUCGAAUCUUGGUACAGAUGCAACACACCCAAAGCUACUUUUGGUGAAAUAACCUCUAAAAUGGCCUCCAAGGCUCAUAACUCAAAAGGUAUGGGAUAAAACAGAGUGGUAAGGACUCUCUGGACCUCUUAAGGUCCAUAUCUGUGAACCAUUUUGCCUUGGGACCUCACAUACUCUAGAUUCAAACUAAAAUAGGCAUAAAGAAAACCCUAGAUUCCACUAGAAUCAUAAUAAACACAAAAAUGGCAUAGAUUGUUACUUCCAAUAGCUUCCUAUGAUCAAAUAGAAGUGGAUCCAAGCUCCUCAACCCGCUUAGCUUGUUCUACCUCCUUCCUAUUAGGUUUUGAGCAUUCUAACACUCCUAAGUGUAUAAGCAACCCUAAAUACCUUGGAUCUAUGUUUUCUCUAUUAUACAUGCAAAUAUGAACUUUCCAAGGUAUUCAUCCUAACUAGCAUAAUAACAUUGAUUCAAAUAAAUAUAUCAAGUUAGAAUUACAUACCUCUUUGAUGUUGAUUGUCUUCAUGAAGCUUGAGCGCCUAGUGCCCCAAGUGUGACACCUCAAAUGGUUCACACAACAUGAAAUACACUUGGAAUAGAUUGAGAGAACAUAAACACUUCAUCAAAUCGGCUAGCCCUUUCUAUUCUCACACAUAGUGACCAAUUUCUUGAGCCGUGAGAUUCUUUUAUGUGGUGGCUAUUAGGGUUACACCAUGUAACUCACAACUUUACCCAUUCCUUAUGCUCCAUGGAUUUUAACCCCCAUGGAGUAUCCAUGGGUCACCCCAUGGACUUAUUUCAACAUAAGGAAUCUUGGAUCACAAGCCCACAUAUAUAAGAAUGAAUGAAUUAUACAAUCAACCCAUAUAUUUAAUUAGUCUUCUUUUGAUCACUUAAUUAAUCCAAGAUUAAUUCUAGAUCAAUACUAAUUAAAUAACCUUAUUAAUAUAUUAGAACUUAUAAUAUAUUAACCAACCUUAAGUGUUAUUUCUCUGAUUAUAGUCUAUCCAAAUGCAUGAUGCCAUGCAACCCAAAUGGACCAUGCUGGGUCAGGUCAAGUCUUACAAUUAUAGUUAUGGACUUAGACAUUAAUCCAACAGUCUCCCACUUGGAUAAGCCUAAAACUAUUAUUGCGUAUGAUUUCAGGAACUGAUUAGCAAUCGUAGCUCUCAAAAGCAUCUGUCGAACUCUGACCUUGUAGAUGAACUCUGCCCUUUGUCAAUGACUUGUCCAUUAGAUAAGGGAUCAUAGAUUCCUCCAUUCUAGAUAUAAUAUGGACUGAGACAUGGAUUAUAAGCAUUCUCUCUGUCCAUUUGUUGUUUCCUGAUUUUUGAUUUAUGAUGACUGAGUAAUUGAACAAAUCAAAUCAGACUUGGCCCGACCGAGCACUUACAUUUGUCAUCAUCAAAUCAUCGAGGGGCCCACAGAUAUCGCUUUUAUCUCGAAGGUAAAAGGAUUGGAUAAACAUCGAAUCAUAUGGCUUGUUCUACUACUUGUUGAAUCAUACACAAAGGCACGUUUUAUAACACCAAGUUACCGAAUGUGUUUUUGUGCAAUCAAUGUACAACCAACUCAUAGUAACAACUCAUAUCUCUAGGUUUGAAGAAUAUAAGAUAUUAUCGUCUCAUGAUCACUCGUGAUAAAAUCCAUGAAGUGAUUCCAAUGAGCACGGGUUGAAUCCAAUACUCAGAACUUAUGAGCACUCAUGAGUGUUGUAGCCCUUUGUCCAACACCUUAGACCUCUACAAGCCAACCCAUGACAGUCUUAAUUCAUAUCUACUUCCAACAUAUGACCGACUGUGGAUGGUUUG
rnacentral:lncRNA from 1 species